UGCGAAUUAGAGUUUGACCCAAACGUUACUCAAUAGCUGGAAAUUUACAGUAACAGUGACAGCUUCGUUAAAAGCCCAGUAAAUGAAACUGGUCCAAAAGUGGGCCGGAUUAGAGUUAGGAAGCUUGUACGAGAUUCUUGUUGGCAAUGUCUGGUAGUUUACAAGCCCUGGCCCACCCUCUUAUCCUUUCUCUUGGAAAUGAUCAAUAUAUUCAUGGUUGUGGGCCCAUCUAAGGUUUUCCAAUCUAAGAAAUAAAUAAAAACGAAUCUAAAGAAAAAGGAAAAAUAAAGGCCCUUAAGUAUAAUGUUGGCAAUUGGCAUGAGUUUUGAUAUGAUAUGACAUGAUGUAGGGGUGCCUUGGUGGAACAUUCUGGAGCGUUUGGUCAAUGGUCACAUCAGGUACACACCAGCGUGCACGACAUGAUAAACGCAUGGAAUCUAAUCUUGGACACGUGUAUCUCAACACGUGGCACCUUAUCGUUAGAUGAUCACCCUAAUCAAAGAAACGUCCUGGGCCAAUUUUGGACCAUUUUUCUCUCUUGUGGGGUUUCUUCUGGGACUCAAGGUCACGCGGGAGUCUGGGGGUGGGGUGUGGAAGGAACACUUGCAUGAAGCCGGGUAUUAUUGUUUAGCUAUUUUCGUGUGAUAAUUUUUUUACGUGACGUAAUUGAUAGAGGAUAGCAAAAUAAAGCUACUCUCGUUACAUUACAACCAAGUUUUUCUUGAGGGUAGGUACUAGGGUCCUACGUAGGUCCCGGUGUUGGUGUUGCAUGCUUCAUGCAGUGUCAAAAUAUCAACGUGAGUUUAGUCCUUUAUAUGAAAUGAAAAGGGCCGAAAAGAAAGAAGAGAAAAGGGCCGCAUUUGGGUUUAGUUCAACAAAUUCUUAAUGGGCCGUAGUCAAGCCUUUUAAUUUGUACGACGGAUGAAGAGUAGUCGUUUUCGAAUCUCGGGAUAUGCUUUAUGUCAUGCGGUUGCGUUUCCUCGGAAAAUAAAAGAGGAGUUUGGGACGCUUGCAAGAGUUGCUAGGGCAUGCUUUUUGUGCGUGUGUAGUUUAUUGUGUUUUGGGCCUCUAUUUUCCACUAAACCCUAAACCACUCUCUCAUCUCAAGUUCUUUUCUUCACUCUCAAAAUGAGUUCUAAAAUUUUCUUUGUAUUCAUCAAUUAGUUCCUAAUUUAGGUUUAGUCUCAAGUCUGAAUUCUGAAUUUGAAAAAAAAAAAAAAGUUAAAUCAAUAUCAUCAUCAUGCUUCAUCACUUAUUAUAAGUAAAAUUCAAAAGUUGUUGGUUGGUCAAAGAAUUAAACAAAUUCACACUCCCCUAUAUUUCAUGCCCUUUCUAAAUCUUAAGAAUGCAUGAUGUUUUGAGGCUUCCCCAUAAAUUAGAAAUAGGCUAAUUUUGCUCUGAUAAAAAAAUUGACUAAAUGCCAAUGUGGAUUGGUUUAGUUGGUAAGUUCCCUGCAGUAUGUAUAGUCCCACUAGUGUUCGAGUCCCACUGCUAGCAAUUCUCGUUGGUGCGCGAUCUAUAAUUUCAUACAUAAAUUCAUACUGGUGAUAGCUGGUAGUUGGGUUGGGUGCCACGUAUAAGUCCUUCUAAUUCAAGAUUGUGAAUCUGUCCUAAUAUUGAUUGUGAGAGUAGUCAAUCACACCCUAAAUUUUUUUUUCAACUAAAAAGAGAGACUAAAUUUAAAGUCUCUAUAGCUCCAUCUGUGUGCUCAGCCACUUGUACUUUUCUAACAUCACUUGAGCAUCUGCUACAUCACCCGCCACAAAGUGCGCGUGGGAUUGGCAUCGAAUCAUCGUGAAUAUAAGAACGCCAGGUUUCCUUGUUGAGCACAAACUUUACCAAACGCCCAUGGCCACCGAAGCUCCCGGCUAUACGACCCGAUUUAUCGUCUCCCUUUCAACCCGACAACCCGAUUGCCCUGCUCCGUUUCGGAAGCUGCUAUAUUCCCUCGGAACGGGUCAGUCCUCCCCCCAACUCUCUCUCUCUCAAAACCACUGUUUAUUUAUUUAUUUUUGCUUUCCUUGUUAAUUUGGGAUUGAAAGAUAGUAUUUGUUGAACUCUAGUGAAAACCUUAAUCUGAUUGGUUUCGAAUCAAUUUACUUGUUCAUCUCUUUUUAGAAGAAGAAAAUUAUUUCUUUUGGAAUUUUUUAUUUGCAAUUGGGGUUUUGAUAAACCUUAGAUUACAGGAGAUAUAAUGUUAAUUGUUAUACACUUGUUCUAGUAGUAUGAAUGCAUUAGAAUUAAAUUAAUUAAUCCUUAAUUAAUAAUAGUUGUGCCCAAAAGAUAAAUCCUUUUGGAGGGUUUUUGAUGGAUAAGUAAUGAUGUGGUAGCUUUGCCUGUAAAUUGGGCUUAUUUCCUAUCCAUUUUAUAUUGUUGCGGCUCAAUGUUUCCUUUUUAUGACACGAACAGACCAUUGAAGAUUGCAAGUGUUGUAGCAAUGAGUGAUGCAAUUGAUUUGAGCGGGGAUGGAGGGGUCCUCAAGAAAAUUGUAAGGCAUGCAAAACCAGAUGCAAUUGCUCCGACCCAAGACCUUCCCCUCGUUGAUGGUAUGAACUAUAUUAUAGUGCUGUUGCUGAUGUUUAUUUGUUAAUGGUGUAGUAACAACAUUUUAUAAUUAACUCGAGCGGAAUGACCUAGCAAACUUGUCUUUACUCUGUACCUAUACUUUAUGUUGGGCAGUUCAUUAUGAAGGCAUUCUUGAGGAAACCAACGAAGUUUUUGAUACGACACAUGAAGAUAACACGGUUUUCUCAUUUGAGCUGGGGAAGGGCAGUGUAAUCAAGGCUUGGGAUAUUGCAGUGAAAACCAUGAAGGUCAAAAUAUGUUUCUGAGCUUCUCUUUAAGAAAUUUAGUAGGUGUUCAAGUCUCCUGUUACAUGUUUUAUCUUCUGUUGGUUUCACCAGGUUGGGGAGAUUGCUAAAAUCACUUGCAAGCCAGAAUAUGCCUAUGGAAGUGCGGGUUCUCCACCAGAUAUUCCACCAGAGUAAUUUCAUUGCUCUAACUUUUCUAUCAAAGUUGUUCUUAGAGAAAACAAUCAAAGAUGCUAGUAACUUUGUGAACUUAUAGAUAUAUAUAUAUGUCCAUUGAUAUUCCAAAACAACGUUUUUGGAGAGAUUAGUUCUAUAUGUUGAUAGGACCUUGACCAGGCUUAUUUCCGUCCCAAACGUGGGAUUGUAUAAUACUUAUUGGCAACAAUUACAUCCAAGCCUUGAAAUAUGAAAUAAGAGUUAUUAGGUUGUUGAUCUUCGACACCCAACUUUAAACCAAGAUAUCUAAUAUAUAGAAGUAGAAUCUUCAGAAGCAUGUUGGAAAGAAAAGUAUAAAAAAAUCCCGGUGGUAAGACUCCUUUAGGGUGGGGGUCGUCACCCACCCAAAACAUCCAAUUUGUGCAUUAAGCAUUUUGGCUUAUGAUUACAUCCAAAUGUUCAUAAAAGUCUGCAUCAGUUUGCUUUGUCAAUCGUCCUUAUUUCUUAUCACAAAUGGUGUCUCUUUACCAUGUUUUUGUAACUAAUGCAUAGUCCAUUACAAAUAUAUCCUGCAGGGCAACCCUUAUAUUUGAGGUGGAGUUGGUGGCUUGCAAUCCACGGAAGGGAUUAAGUUUGGGUAGUGCCUCAGAAGAAAGGGCCAGGCUAGAGUAAGUUUUAUGCUUUUAUCUGUUCUGUGACUUGUUCUCGAGAUAUAGUGCAAGUCAUAUUGUUAUCGUUAUUCUUCUUGUUGGUUCCAUUGAGAUCUACCAACUUUCAUAAACAGUAUGAUGGAUUAAAUUGCAUAUUGGUACUCACAACAGAGAACUGAAGAAGCAGAGGGAGAUGGCUGCUGCAAACAAAGAGGAAGAGAAGAAGAAGAGAGAAGAGGCGAAAGCUGCUGCUGCUGCUCGUAUUCAAGCUAAGUUAGAUGCCAAGAAGGGUGGAAAGGGAAAAGGCAAAGGAAAAUAGGCGCGUAAAUGCAUAUUUGCAUGAACGUGAUCCUAUAUAUACAAUAAAUAAAAUUUUAUGCAUGAGUUAGACAGAACCGUGACCUUUGUGCAACUUCACAGUAUGACUUUGAAUGACCUAUUAUUUUAUCUACUAUAAGCUUAUGUCAAGCAUAAUCAAGGUACUAGUGGGUUAUUGUACUUCCCUUUUUUAGUAUGGAAAUAUCUGAGAUGUUGUAUUUCAAAUCCAUGCUAGUGUUUACCCAUGCUGAGUAAUUGCUUUUCUUUACCGCCGGGUUAGAUUGAAAAUUUCGAUUCUGAUAAAUUUCUGAGUUUGGAAGUUUUAAUUCUAAGUGAAUUUCGGAAUUUUCAGAUCAAAUGUGUCUACCUCUUGGAAACUCAAACCAUUAGGUCCGAUACAAGUCCCGAGCAAACAAGCUUCUGUCAUAAAUUUCAGACCGAUAAGAUAAUUCUAUUAAUACAGAUUUGAAGAAAUCAAAUCAAAUACACAAAACUUGUAGUGAGGACAUAAUAUUCUGCCAUUCCAAUGCCUAUGUCACGAUAAUUACAGCAAUGCUGGGCAUAAGCUCUCAAUAUUAACCAUGUGCCUAACUAUGCAGGUACUGCAUCUACUAGUUACACUGUUAAUAAUCAAACCAUGUACGAAGGAUCCAUUCCACCUUGGCUAUUUUCAUGCCACGCCACCGAUCCUGCUCUGAAUUUACACACUGGGCAGGUUCCCUGUUGCCUCAGCCAAGGAUCUAUGCAACUAGCAUGGAACUGCGGCAAAGCAACGGAACAAUUAUAUCAAAUCAAGAUUUUAGAAUACAAAACAUCAUUACAAAGUGAAUUUUAUAAUAUCAUGGAUCACAAAAACAUACAAAGACAACCCCUUACAUUUUAAACUCAAGUUACUUACAGGUUUUGGUAUGCAAAAUGAUUCCACUAGUCAAGUUAGCUAAAGUUAUUCCUCGGAAGCUGUGUUUUCUGUUCAUAUUUCAUGUGAGUGUGACAGUGUGUGCAUGUGCGUGGGUAUGCGUUUGCACGUGUGCAUUUCAAUGCAAAUAAUCAACUCUAGCAAGAACUCCCUAAAAAUCCCACAACUGAAAAAUAUAGGAAAUAUAAUACCAACAAUGUUAAGCCACUGAAAAAACAAACUGAACCUGAUGCAUGCAAGGAAGGCUGCGGAUUAGUUCUCCCACGUUAACUUGCUCCAAGCAAACACUGCAAGUCAGUUCAUCUUCUGAGGCUUUUGUGCUCCCAACUGUGUUAGCAGUUUCUUGCUUCUUCUGCUAAAUAGAAGAGAGAAAAUACAAUGGUACAGAGAUAAAUGGAAUGCUAUCAUAUGAUAUGAGAUUAUAUAGUAUGUUAGAAAUUUCCUGUCAGAAGGGCGGAAAUUACAAAAGGACAAAGGGAUAGUUUAAAGCGAAUACCUCAGAGGGUACUGAAGAUGAAGCUUGUUGAAUCGAUGAAGCACCACUGCAUUCAGAACAGAACCAUAUAAAAUAUUAGGCAACUAUGAUUCAAUUCAUUCUUCCAUUUGCCUCAAAAUAGUAUGAACAUGUGGGGCUUUGGCCCCGCCGUCAUACCAAAAUAAUAUGAGCAUGUAAAUAACAGAACAAAAUCUCUCAAUUCUUUUGGUCCAAAUCCCCGUAGUUGUCAAUGCUUCUAAUCAACCACUCAGGAAAAACAGAGUGGAACCCUAUACAACACUAAACUUAACUCUCAGCUCCAAAUUUGUGGAACUAAAUUCAAUAAUGUAUUAUAAGCGUAAAAAAUACACUACAUAUUCGAUACAAGCCAAAUUUAUAUGUUCAAACAGGUGCAUGCACAAAUAAGCAGACAAAACAUAACUUAUUAAAAUGUGAAGUUCACUUAGUUAAUUACAAAAUGUCUUUUUGAGAAGGAUGGAAAACCAACAAAAAUAAGGAAUCUAUUUAUCAUCUGCCAAAACGUUAGUGCAACAACCAAGCUCACAAAUAAAACUAGAGAACUUACGUCUGAAGACCCAUAACCUUGUAUUUAUGGACUGGAAGAGCAUUUAUCUCUUCCUCACUCAUAGAAGAAGCUGCUGGAACAUUAUCAGAAUCCAAAGCUCGCAAAGUUUCAUAAUCUGGUAUCGAACAGAAGAAAAUGUUGACAUAAAACUAGGGGCCUAGGAAAAGUAUUAAGAGAACAAAAUAUAAAGCCAUGGUUUGGCUAGUGAAAUUUAUAAUCCCCAUGUAUUGGUUUUCAAGACAUAAAACUCAUUCUAGAUGGAUAUAACUACCAAACCUAGGUCAUCAAAUUCCCGAUCAAGAAGUGCAAGCUGAAGUCUGAGGCCUUGAAGGCGCCCUCUUGUUGCUAGGGCUAUGGAUGGUGGCACAUGCAACCGCAAUUCAGUAUGACCAAGAAGGCCGCUGGCUGCCGCUGCAUGAGCCUGUGCUUGAGCUUGAAGUUGUUGACAGGUUGCGUACAUCCUUAACGUUGUGGCCAUCAAAAAGACGCCAAGAACUAGCCAGAGCUACAUACAUCAGUUUGAAAGAAGGAUUUUUAACUUCUCAUAAAAAUACCCAAACGAACAGCGAACUUGACCAGUAAAACUAACAAACCAAUUUACACGCUCAGAGAAAGACAAUACCAGGAAAUUAGGUGACAUCUGGUGCGAGUUCAGUAUCAUGAAUAACAAAAGAACUGGAAAGACAACAUAUACACAGAAGUUAGUAAUAACUAACAAAAUUACAAACUAAUAAGACAAAAGGGUAAGAUUAAAUGUACCUGUGACAAGAAAAGCAAGUGAGUUGGAAUUGACAGAACGUGAUGCAUGAACGCGCUGAUACAAAACAGCCAAUAUCAAUACGAAUUAAUAGAUAAUAACACCUCUACCCUCUUUUCCCCUAGGAAAUUUACACACACAACCCACAAUGACUGAACCCCAGAACUCACCCCUCCACCCUUGCUCUGAGAUUACAUACACAAACCCACCAUGGAUAAACCACAGAACUCACCCUCCAUCCUUAUUCUUAAGGGGGAGAAGGUGCAAAUGUGUCCAAAGGCAAUGGCAACUGAUAAAAUAGACAGAAAAUGAACUGCCCCAACUUUCACUAAAAACUGCACACACAAAAUUUCAGAAAUACAAGAAAUGUACCAUUGCACGCCGCUCUGGUAUAAAUUCCGGGAAUCCACUUUCAAUAUCUGCUCUUGUCCCCCGGAAAACAAAACUCAUGUCUUUAGGAUUUAGAAGAGCUCUGCUGAAAAUAUUAAGUCACUGAUUUUCAAGUUCGCUGAAAUUAAAACGCCAAAAUGUUCAUUCAGUAAGCGUCAUAAUUCAUAAACCAAAAGAAGCUAGUUUAUGGAAAACCAUCGUAAAACCAAACUCAAGAGUGCCAAUUAAGAUGCAAUAAACAAAUUAUGGGUCACAAAAACUUAGACACCAUUUUAGCAAAUACUGGAAAUGACCCACAUGAUUUGGAAGAAAACGCAUUACACUAAAAAUUCCCAGCUAAACAAAGUAGACCUUAAAUAACGUAUAAAAAAAGGUAUCAAGCUGUGAACUCCCUAAGAAUUCCCUGCUGUUAAGUGUAUAUAGCGAACUAAACUAAGCAAGCUGAUCUAGUUUCCGCCACAGAACAAAAAAAAAAAACAAAAAUCCAAUCUAUUAUAAAUUUCGGAUAGAGAAUCACUCAUCAAGAAAACCCUAAUCCCAAAAUCACAUUCCCUCAACAACACAAUGAACCAAAAAAAAUUAGUCUUCACAUAAAAGCAGUAAUUCAGGUAGCGAUCGCACGCUGGGAAAUAUUAAGAAUAACAGAGGCUGAUUGGAAGAAGCUUUCAAAAGCCUGUGAUUAAGAAAAUUAAAGCAAUCACAGAAUAAAGACGGGACAGAAAAUGCAAAAGAUGGAGAAUUACCAAAAAGAAAUUACUUCAGAUGGUUCAGAUCCCGGGAAACGGCGGCGUUAUCUUGAAAACGCCAUGCAACGUCUCUGCGGGAGAUGAAAGAGCGAGUUGCAAUGUACAGAGAGAUCUGAUUCGACUCGGACGCGUUUGCCGCGGAAGCUUUAAAGCUUUGUCUAUCGUCACUGUCCGGUUAAAUCUAAGAUUAGUUAAAUUACUAUUGCCGUUACGACACCGUUUCUUCUGGGUCGUCUUUAACGGAUUCUUUGACUGUGACAUCUGACUCCAUUCGAGGAGUUUCUAGCUUCCACACAACACAUCCCCUAAGAAACGCACCGUUUUGCAUAGCGGAAUCGUAUUUAUUUGUCACUCGCGAUUUUUUUUUUCUUUCCUUUGAAUUUGGGAAAUGAAAAUUUGUAAGAGUUAUUGUAUUCUGUCUAAAAUUUAGGAAAUGUUAUUGGUGUUAUAAAAAGAAAAUCCAUUAUGCAAUUUCACCAACAUCAUUUUACAAUAGAGGAUCACGUGAUGUUUGAAAAGUUUGUUAUGAUAAGUGGACGGUGUAAAUUAUGUUGUUGAUCACUCUUUAAUGAAUUAUAUGCACUAAUAUACAUGACUUCAUGAUCAAUAUCCAAGUAACAAUUUUUAAACAAGAAAUCUUCAUUCAUUGUGUAUCAAUUUUCGAUUUGAAUUUUCAUGACUAUGUUAAUCGUAUAUUGACUGAAAUUAUGCAUUACCAUUUUCAAAUAUUUUGAAAUGUUGUGACUGAAAUCAUGCAUUACCAUUUUCAGAUAUUUUGAAAUGCGGUGUGUAUGUGUGUGUGUGUGUGUGUGUGUGUGAUCAAGAGCAUGAUAGUGUUUACAAGUGAAAUGAUGAUUGUUGAACACAUGCUCGGCCCUGAACAGGGGUAGUCAGUGCGACUGCCCUGGGCCCAUUAUUCAGAUGGGCCAAAUUUUAUUUAUUUUUUAAUAAGUGUAAUAGUGUUAUAUUAUAUUAUUAUAAACUGAUUUAAUAUUUUUGAGAAAACAAAAAUGACAUUCGCGUUAUGGACGAAUGCACAUCUCUUCCGCUCCUCAAGAAGAACCCUUUUGGGCUACCCAUUCCACUCCUCUAGGUUAACAUUAUCUAUUCUAAAUUUUACUUCUCCUUCUCAUCUCAUCUAAGCCUUUCUUACUAGUUCCAAAGUUGUGAAUCCCUAAAUUAAUUUUUCUGUUGGUAGAUUGCGGAGAUUCCAAAAUCCGAAGUGUGGGCUUUUGUUCAGUGCAAAAAUUGGUCAUUGUAAAAAUUAAUUGAAGGUAAUUUUUCAUGAUUUGAUAUCAAAUGAAAAGGGAAAUAUAAUAAUUAUUUUGUUUGUAGAUUCGUGAUUUAUGCAUUCUCUUUGCAUGAAUUUUUCUAAGCUAUAAUUGAUUGCAAAUUUGGAAAUAUCAAGUUUGUUACUGUGGAGGGGGAUUUCUCAAAUUACACGGUAUGUUUUUCUUUGUUUAUUCUUUGAAGUGUUAAAAUUGCAUUGUUUCUGGAAAUCAAAAUAGAAAAUGAAAAAGAGAGAGAGAAGAAUUAACUAAAUCUCAAAAGGGAGCUAUGGAUAUAUUUCUUCUUAACAAAACAAAUAGUUCACUUGAUAACUCAACUGAAUAUUUAGUUAAUGAAUCUGAACAGAAAAAUUAUGUUGAAGAAUUUGUAGGAAUUGAUAAUGAUUUAGUUAAUGAAUCUUAACAACAAAAUCAUGUUGAAGUUUGAAGAGGUUAGAUCUUGGUUGAAAAAUGAGAGUGAAUUCAUCACUAACUUUAAAUAAAUUAUAUAUAAGUGCUUAAUUUUUAUUUUUGCCCUGGAUCCUGAAAAUUUCAGGAUCAGCCCUAGUUGAACGACAUAUGUGUAGGGGUGGGCAUGGUUCGGUUUGGACCGAUUUUUGCCUCAAAUUAAAACCGAUCCGGUAUUAUUUAUUCAGUUUGGUUUGGUUUGGUUUUAAUCAAAAAAUUUCAAAAAUUGUCUGGUUCUGUUCCAGUUUCAGUUCUUUUUUGAACCGGAUUAUAAAAAUUGUUUUUAAAAAUUAUUUUUUAAUACAAUUCUCAACUAAAAUAUUAUUAUUUUACUUGAAAAUUAACAAAUUAUUCAAUUUCAUAUAAAAAUAAAUAUUAAAGUUAGAAAAGUGAUAUAUUUUGAAAUUGAACUUGGAUAAAUAUUUUUUUUUAGUGAAAUUAAAAAUAUAGCAUUAAAUAUAAUUAUAUAUUUAAAUUAUAUAUAUAUUUUUUAAUUUGACCGGUUCGGUUCUGCCCAGUUCGAUUUUUGAAGACAUGGAAUCGAAUCCGAAAUCGGUCCAGUUCGAUUUUUGACCGAUUGUUGACUUUUUGGUCAACUCGAUUUUUUUCGGAUUUAGUUCGGUACGAUUUGACUCGAAUUUCCGGUUCGCCGGUUUGAGUGCCCACCCCUACAUAUGUGGGGGGUAAAAAUGUUGUACUAUUUGAGCUAGAGACCCAACAAUAGUAAGGCCAUAUCUAAUAAUGCUAAACUCAAAAUAUCAUGCCCAAAUUCUUAUAUUUAAGUCCAAAUGCACAUGGCCCAAAUGUAUGUGGCCCACUAAAUGACUCUUGAUAGACCAGCAACUUAUGGACCCUUCGAAUCAUGCACCUUAUUUGGUCCCACAGAAAGAAAAAACCCAAAUCAAACCAUAGGAGUUGGAAUCUUGGGCAAUGGACCCUGCUAGAUCUUUCAUCUUCUGUAUCCUCUCCAUCAAUUCAAAACCCACCUACCCUCACCAUUAAAACAAAUAGGACAAAUCCACUUCACCAAACGUACCCACAGAGAUCCAGAGAAUCUCACAGUUUUGUAAAAACCCAAAAAAAUUUAAAAUUUAAAAAAUUUAUUACUAAGAUAGCAACAAAAACCAAAAACACUCUCAGAGAAUAACAUUUUUUGUUAUUUUUGUCAAUAACGCAACAAUACAUCGAUUAACUUUUUCACAUAUCAUUAUAUUAUUAAUCAGAAUAAUAAAAUAGUGUUAUUCCUGUUGCAAGAAAUUUUUUUUAACAACAACAGCUGAACACAGUGCAAACUAAUCCUGAUAUUUACCCUAUUUUCCAUCCAUGACCACAUACUAUCUGAAGAUUCUGAACCAAAUGGGCCCACAAACUCAGCCAAUGUGGUGGGCCCUUGAUCAAGGUGACCCAAACACUCACAAAAAUUUUGCCAGCUGGGGGGCCCCAGCUAGACCCCCAACCCAAGUCUUUGACUUGCAAGAUCACACCUAACCUCAGCCACUCCCACUCUGGACUUCUCCAAGUCAAACUCCAUCCACACGUUUUGCUGAUGGUGAUGUCCAAUCACGAACGCCUCGAUGCCUAGCAAGUCAGAGUUUCCGAAUGUGAAGCAGUACACCGAAUCACUACCCCUCACCAUUCCCGGUACGCGAUACAACAGCCUCUCGCCCGAUACGCUCAUCUCGGCCCCCUGAAACAUUAAGGUCACCGUUGGCAGCUGGGGCAGACUCGGCCGGUUCAUCGGGACUUGGUAGCACAAAUCCAUGGCUCCUUGGAAAACGAAAUUCGGAUCGUUCAAAACUCUCAAAACCGGUUUGGUUUGCUGAAUGAACUCGUUUUUUAGCGCGGUGUAAACCGGACCGAGUAGGAACGUGAACUGGGUUCCCGAGUCGACCAUUGUCUGACCAGCCCCGGUAUGGUCCGGUACGAAAACCGAUUUCGGGAGCGGUAACACUUUGCCCGAAACUCUGAUCCCCUCGAGCUGGACGGUGUAAGCGACUCGGUCGAAGUACGGCAAUGGGGUGGAUAUUUGGACCAAAGGGGUGUAGUUCAAGGGACGCAGCCAAGCGAAUUUCGCUUCCCCGAAAAGUAGAAUACCGGACGAGUCACGACCCGAUAUGCAGUACGAAAAUUUCGGGAACCCCAUUUGGGUAACGAAGGAUAACGACCCGCGGUUCAUACCCAUUAACCCGGUGGUCUUGGCGUCUUCCUCCGAGUUGGAACUGAACCCGGAAUCCAUGCACCCGAAUAUCGUACCGGGUUGUGUGGACAACCCGAGAACGAAAGUUUCGGAUGCGAGGUUGCCUUCAAUGGAAGAAGCGUCGGCGUAGGAGAGAGUGGCGUGGCAGAGCUUUUUGGGGUCGCAGGAAACGGGUAUGGAGAAGUCUCGGGUUCGGGUCCGGCAAACGGGCGAAGAGCAAGGUAUGGUAGAAUAAGAUUUAGAGGCGAGUGGGUUGAAAACAGAGUUCAAGUUUGGGGCUUUCUUGCAGUGGAGCCAAGAGAGCUCACUGCCUGUGUCAAGGACCAUGGUAACGUUCUGUGGGGGCGAACCCACGGAAAGUUGGAUUGUUAAGGUGACGUUGUGGUGGAAAGAGAGCUUGUUUGUUGAAUGUGGGGCAAACCCAUGUGGAAGUGUCUCUGUUUUGAGAGGUAGAAUGAGUGUUCGUGGUUUUGAAGCAGAGAAACAGAGUGUGCAGUGGGUGAAGAAGCAGAGAAGAAGAAGAAGAGGAAGAACAAUGGGCAUGGUUUAUUUAUGAUAAAAAAAAUUUAAAAAAAAAGAUGAAAAAAUACAGAUGGGAAAAUCAAAUGCAAAUUCAAAUGAAUGGUUUGGGUUGUUUUUGAGUUGGGAUUUGAAUGCUUUUAUGCAGAGGGUUUUGAGUGGUGUGGUUGUGUUUGGUGGUGUUGGUUUGAGAGAGAUUGAGAGAGUUGUGGUGGUGGCGGGGUCUUUGUAUUGUGUAUUUGGUGCGUAUGUGCAGUGAAAUGAAAGCUACUCUUUCUGGUUUCUUAAAUACUAGAAGCUAGCUGUGUGAAUAAUGACAUGCUCUUUGAAUUUUGGUUUAAGAAAUUUGUUACGUGCAAAGCGUAUGAUCCAAUCAAAAGUUUUGAUUCUCUCUCUCUCUCUCUCUCUCUCUCUCUCUCUCUCUCUCUCUCUCUCUCUCUCUCUCGUUCUGUCUUCAUCAGUUGAUCUUGAUUAUUUUACUCAUGUUUUUACUGCAUUUUGGCUUCACGUUAGAGGGAAAUACAAUCACUAAUCAAAUAUUAAAUUGGAAGAUUUCAUCCAUGAUCGACAGCUUGCUUUGCUCUGCUACUGGAUUUGCUUUGCAAUUCGCUUAUUUUCCACGAGUCAUGAAUAUAUGUAUAAGUGGCUGCACUGUGCUUAAUUCUUUGCUUCCUCAUUGAUUAAGCUCCGAAUCCAUCAAUCCAAAAAAAGGGAUUAAUUCCAACUCUUUAUUUGUCAUUGGUAGUCGACGUGUUAUAAUGUGUAUAGAUGAUAUGAUUGAUAUGUCAUGACGUAAAAUAUAAUAUUAAUAAAUAAAUACACGUGUUAUAACAUAAAUAUACUAAAAUCAUCAGGCGACAAUACAACCUUCUAUUAUUCAUAUAGAUUCAAUUGUAAGCUUCCAUCGAGAAUAUAUAUAUAUGGAAGACACAGUUCAUUUUUAUACUGUACUUUCUUUUGCUUUCACCCACUUUUGUUAUAUAAGAUUCAAUCUCUCUAAUCUCAUCACAUAUGAGCUGGUGAUUAACAAUCACUCUUGACUUACGUGAGCUUGUGAUUCGUGAGGACCCGACAUGCUCUUUCAAAAGGCAUUAUCUGGAAGGUACAACUGGAGACAAAUAUGAAUACAAACUUCAAGAAAGUCGGAAAGAACCCAAAACACACCGCACCCACAAAAAUCUAAGAUGCAUGGAGGUGAGAAAGCUCAUUAAUUUAUAGCCUUGACUCUUGAACCUUUUUUAUAGACAAUUAUUUCAUUAACAACUCAUAAGUGUGUAUUAUAUUGUCAACCAGGCAUUAAUUAAUAAUUAAACUAAUGUUUGGAAACUUUGGGCAUGCACGUAAAAUAUAAAAACUUUGGUAUUGGGGGCAGCCACUCUAAUAUACUAGUCAGUCAACUUAAAUCUCUUUUCAAACUUCUGAUUUACUCAAAAAUGCUUUCUUGCUUUCACUAUUUCACUGUUAGAAAACCUCAAUAUUAGCCCAUGUUUAAUCUCUCGUAACAAAAACCACAAUUUAGUUGUGGUCGAACACGAAUAAGACAUAAAUCGCGUCAUUGCGAUUUUAGUUGGGUGUUGUCAUUGAUUUUUUCUCUGUGUAGGUAGUCAAUGGCCUUUUGAGCAUUGGGUCACAAUACUGUUGUAUUAUUAGGUAAAUGUAAUGUGUUUUUUUUCUUUAAAUUAUUUAUGAAUAAUUGACUAAUGAAUUAGCCACCAAAGAGGAGUCGUGCAUACUAGUCUCACAAGCCUUGAUUGAUUGCCACUUUUUGCUGGUUUCCACAAGGAUUAGGGGUCAAAAUCUUCAAAUAAAUGCGAAGCAUACCUAAUACCAAAAAGGAUUGUGACUGAAUUGGAAUCGUGAUUCGUGCGGGUGUUGAUGUUGCUUCCUAUUACAAUGUCUGAAGCAUGCUUUGCGGACUAAUAAAAAGACAUAGCCUUGAUGGCAACAAUGACAUAUCUAACAAGAAAGAAUGGUAUAUAGCUGUGAUAAUUUUAGACCCAACAGUUGAAGGAAGUUACAUGCAUAAGUUCAAGUCAAGCACUCAAGCCCUCAUGUCCAACCACAUGUCCCUGCGUGCCAUCCAUCAAAUUGUCCAUUAGUUACCCUUUGGGACCAUCUGCAUUAUCAGUUCCAAUAAAAGAGAAAUCUCUCCCUUUCUAGGGUUUGAAAUUUUCUUUGGUAGAAUGACAAAAACCUAAAUUAUGAGCAUGGACCCGAUUGAAUUGGAAACACAGAAAAGUCUCUUACUCAUUUAUUCCUAGACAACAAGACAAAGAUUUGGUCGACUAGAUAAGAGGAAAUUUUUUAUUCUUCAUAACUUACCAAACAUACUGUUAUAUUAGACUAUGAAUCAUAACUGUUGAUUAUUUGAGAUAAUGUUUGAAUUUCAAUCAUGUUCGGUGACAUACCUAUUAAGGCGCAAUGAGGUGUAGCUGUAUUUUCUCUUGCCGGAAAAGCCAUUAUAGUUGUUGCAUAUUUCACCUCUACUCGACCUAGAAGGUGCACUCUAGGUGUUCGACGAAAAACCUAAACGAAGUCAGUCUGCUACUGCACUACGCUAUGUUAUGCUACACAUCGUGCUUGUAUUUAUUUAUUUAUUAACAAUUAUGGCGAAAAUUACACCUUUGCUAAAAAAUUAUUGAGUCCACCAUUGACCGUGUCCUAAAAAAUUUAUUGCGGAAUGGAUAGUUUGGCAUUUGAUGUAGAUGAUUGAACAAUGAUGAUUAGCUUUUAACAAGACUGGAUUUUGGAUGAGUCAAUAUAAUAAAAAAGAAAUGAAUUUGGUAUGCUUUCUCAAUCACUCACACAAGUGACCCAACCCAAGGGACCGGGGAAGAAGAAGCAGGUAAGUAAAUUGCAUUGCAUGCAAAGCUUUAUGUGACGUGAGUUAGAUUCUUACCCUCAUAGCAAUCUCAAGUGCUAACGCGGUUUGGCAAUCAAUCACCGACUCGAAUUUUGUUGUUUCUCCAAGAAUUGUUAAUUGUCAGUCUCAGCCUCUGAAAGAGAGAGGCAUUUUGCUGAAUUUUCUAUCUUCCGUAUAAUAUUUAUAUAUCUUUAAUCUCGCAUUUAAAUAAGUGGAAUAUGAAACAUCUUUUAAUUAAAUGAAAACAACUAUCACUCUACAAAAACUUAGUGACGAAGACCCACAAUAUAUAUAUAUAUAAAUGAUGGGUGACCCACAAUAUAUACAUAAUAUGGGUGGUUGAUGUCUGCUAUCUAGGGGCCAAUCUUUUUAUAUUUUUUGAAUCUCCUCAUUUUUCCGAUAAUCUGUUGGGAAGGGAUCAAAACUAUGACUUCAAUUAGACAUCAACUUUUCAAUUCAAUCUUGUGCUGCAGAACCACACCCUGUAAUUCAGAGAUUUCAUGGAACAAGGCCAAAGACCCAAAAGAGUAGGACAGACGGGUGGGCUAAUUCACACCUUUGGGCUCUUCAGGAAGGAUAAGGGAGGCAUGGGUUGCUGAGUUGACGUGGGGAACUGUUGGGCCAUCUUUCUUUAUAUAGAACUGAGAGAGAUGGGGCAUUGCGACAGCUCUCACAGUCACGCAGACAAAUGAAAGUUUUAAGUUUUAAGAGAAGGGAUAAAAAGAUAGGCAUCUAGAGCAGACUCCAACAUACGUUCAAGAUUCGAUUCCCACAUGAGAAAUUUAUAUCAAAUAUCAAAUUCUGCUGAUUUGAGCUGCUUCUCAGAAUAAAGGGAAAUAAAAAAUGCCACAUUUUUCUUUUGCGAUGGUAUGACAUUGGAGGAAAUCUACCCUACUUAUGACCGUUGUAAAAUUAGUCACGUGGCAAUGGAUUUGAAGUUCAAGUAAUUAAGAAGGGAUAAAAAGAUAGGCAUCUAGAGUAGACUCCAACACAUGUUCAAGAUUCGAUUCCCACAUGAGAAAUUUACAUCAAAUAUCAAAUUCUGCUGAUUUGAGCUGCUUCUCAGAAUAAAGGGAAAUGAAAAAUGUCAUAGUUUCUUUUGCGAUGGUGUGACAUUGGAGGAAAUCUAUCCUACCUAUGACCGUUGUAAAAUUAGUCACGUGGCAAUGAGUUUGAAGUUCAAGUAAUUAAGAGCAACAACUCAUACCCAAAGUUUUGUGUUUGAAUCUCCUUAUCUAAUAUCGCUUGUAUAAAAAACAACGAGUCCGCAUGAAUAAUACAUGAGGUGACCGUGAUAAGUGAUGAAUGGGACACGUGUUGAAUGCACACAACCCAUUAGGAAAGAUUUUUAUGUGAAAAUGGUAUAUAUGCUCUACAUGAAACUCCAAAAUGUGUGCAUGGCAUCUAUCUCACUGAAUACCACAUGGCAUGCAAUUUGCAAACACUUAAAAUAUGGAAUAAAAUCGAGCUCCAAAUCCCUUCCGAAGAUAUUUACCAGCUUGGAUCGAGCGACACGUGUUGGCAUGGCAUGUGCCAUGAUUUGGCUUCUUCGUAUUUCUAGGCGACCAUUUUUGUGGGUGAGGUUUCUUUUAGUCAACUAUGCUACCAAAUGUAAUUACCUUAAAUAGGCUCCGACCAGAACAAAUAACAAAUUAUAACCGAAAAAAAACACAAGGACAUAACAAAUGGCACUGCCCAUGUUCUGUGGAACGGCAAGUCGUUUUACUUACCCAUUUGUUGUUUAUGAAUCAAACACUAUAAAGAAAGCAUCUUGGGAAAAAAGUACUGCAGCCAUUGAUGACACAGCUCGAAGUUCAAACUUCAAAGCAACCCAAGAGAGAAAGGGGAACAGAAAAGCCUGAAAACCCAGCUGACGCUAAACAGUAAACAAUGACCUCUUCCCAUUAUCAAUGCAAAAAACGUUGUCGUUUUCCCGUUGUCAACAUCUCUAUGGAGUUUAAUGGCAAGUACCUCAAUCUUUGUCACACAGUCGAAAUGUAAGAAAGAAACACCUUAAAAAUAAAAAAAAAUGUCGAGGGUGAAGUGGAGUGAGCAAAGACAUUUAUUUCCCAACAAUUUUCAUGACAAGAAAUAGGUCAUGCAAUGCAUGAACAAGAACAUGAACAAGAAGAAGAUGCUUACACUUUAUACAAACUGAAUGUCACUACCAAUUACAAAUUCAUGGAGGAAAUUAAAAUACACUUACAAAUCUGUCUAAUUCCUGGUUCAGAUUUCACUCCAUGAAACUUUAAAAACUCACUUUGGCUUUGUCUCUCUUGGAGCUGGUCCUUCUUCUUCUGCAGAUGCUCUGCUUCUUUUUAAUUAACUAGCUUACUAAUUUCAUGGGAUUUUCAAGGCCCCAUUCGCAUUCACUCAUAUUUUUUCCCCAAUAUUUACACCACGAGUGAAAUUAACGAACCUCACCAUCUAACAAUCCCACUGUUCACAUCCAUCGACCAAGUCCUCCGCCGCCUCGGAGUCGACGUCGUCGUCUGCUCCAAAUCCAUAAACCUCACCCUCCUACGACUCGUCGUUCGAGGCGGCGUCGGCGUCCCCAACCUUCUCUCCGAACCCGAACCCGAAACCGCCGACGACUGGACCCCGCCAAAACAACCGAACAAACCCCGCAAAAACCGCAUCAACCCACCACUCUGUCUCCCUCUUCCUCCAUUCCUCGACCACGAAAUCCUCCUCGGAGCUCCUGCGCCGUUAAAACCGCCGUCCAUCUCCGUGUACACCACCGGAAGCUCUCUCUCGACGCCUCUUCUCCCGCCGCUGAAUCUCCCCACCGCGAAACCGCCGCCGGGCAGCCUCCAGAUCGUAAGACCCGCGUUCUCGUCCUCCUCCUGACCCGUCUCGGCCUCCGAAUCGGCCGGCAGUUCAUGCCGGCAUACCGGACACGAGUUUCGGAGGGAGAGCCACGGGAGUAUACAAUCCGAGUGGUAUAUAUGCUUGCAGGGCAUUUCCCGAACUUCGGUUCCUACUUCGAACGCUUCUUUGCACACCGCGCAGUGAUGCUCCGCCGCUAUGUGAGACUCGUCGAGCUCGAUCGUCGGCAUCGAUUCCACCGCAGAUUUUGAUGCGGGUCUCUGCUCGUACCGUCCGAUUCCGUUGAUUUCGAUCUGGGACAGCUGUUCGAGAAGGCGGUCAAAACCCGACCCGAGUAGAAACUCGGACAUGCUUGUAGGUAAGGGUCGGAGCCCCGACCCAACACCGUCAUCGUAGAACAGCUCGAAUCCGCGACCUUCUUCGUUCGAAGUAGCACCUUCGGAGGUUGGCCCGCGAAGGACGAUGACCGGGUUGAACGGCGAGCGGUCGCCUUGGUUCCGGCGAGGUCUUCGGGGCCCCGAGGGGCUUGGAGCGGUGUGAUCCGGAUUGGAGUCAGAACGGUUGUUGGCUCCAAUCAUGUACAUCGCAGCAGCUGGAAUCCUCCUAACGCGGCGCGAGUCGGAGCGGGUCGGGUUGUCGAUAUCCUCGACGAAGCCACUGCCGCAGUCCGGGCACAGCACUGAGGAGGAGACGGCGACGUCGUUUAAAACCCUGACGAAGCGGCUACAUCUGUAGCACCAGUAAGAUGGCGUCGCUGCGGACAUGGAAGGCCAAUCAAUACUGCCGAUCCGAAACAAAAAAACGCCUCUAGCAGUCCAAAUCAAUUGAAUUUGAUCCGAGAAAUGACAAUUCCCAACGGUAAAAGUCCUGUUUGAGAGAUGGGAAAAUGAAUAAAACCCCGAGAGAAGAAACCACAAAAGGGUUUCUUCUGGUUGUCAAAUUUGUUAAUUGCGUGUUAAAAACUGAAGACAGAAAGGUUUAUGGUGUUAUUAACAGCAAAACCGCGUUUGUUAUUAGCGACUUAGCGUGGCGAGAACGCUCGUAACUUUUGCACACGUGGUGAAGCUUGAUUGGGCGAAGCGCAUAACGACGUUUAGUGAGCGUUAGAGUUAGAGAUGAGAGAUGUGUGAGGGUCGGUUGGUUUUGGAGGAAGCGCGAAGCGGAGAUGAGACGGUGCGCUUUGGAGUUGGCGAUGGCAACGGAACGGAGUAUCUUAGAAAAGCCGCGGGAAGUAAGGGAGGGCUGCGCCGUUUUCAAUUUGAGCUUCGCGAGCCGGCGCGAAGAGUUUAGAGGAAUAUUCUAUACAGGAUGACGUGGCAAUAUUCGUUUCUUAACUGAGAGGAUUUUACUAUUAUUUGGAAAAGAGACUCUGUCAACUAUUUUUCCAAAAGUUCUAACUAUGACCCUAAGUCAAACUUCAAAACAACAAGUUAACAGAUUGUAAUGAACUUUGACCCCCAAAAAAAAAAAUUUAUAAUAAACUGAUGGCAAUAUAAGAAACCAAAAAGAUUAAAUAAUAAUUAAAAAUAAACUUAAACAUUAAAGAAAUAUUAACAAAAACAACAUUUUUUAAAAUUGUCCACAUAAACUAUUCGUAGUGUUUGGGCUCCAUCUACUAUUAUGUAAAAUAAACGAUGUAUAAGUGUUAUUUCUAUUUCAGCACAUAGAUUAGAGUAUUUAAAAAUAAAUAUUUUCAUGCUAUAAUUCAAAAUUACUCGUCUCAUGUGAAAUCUUUAUAAAAUACCUAAUUUGGGUCUCUUUACUUUUUGAUUGGAGGGCAAGAUAUUUGUGAGUUGUAUACACCAAGUAAUUUUGUAGUGUUUAAUUUCUUAAUGAUGGUGAGUUAUUCAUAGUGGUGUUAUCAAUUCAUUUUUGUUAUAAAACUUACAUUUACAUAUUAGUAUUAUUUUAAUUUUAAUUUUUGGAAUUAUAAGCAAUAAUCUAAAUUAAAAGAGAAAAAUUUCUUUCACACACAAAAUAAUAAUGUCAUGAAAAUUUAAAUUUAAAAUCUCUAAUUUAACAAAUUAACCAUAUUAUUGUAAUGUAUGAAUUUCACGUGUGACGGUCACAAAUUAAAAUUUGUCAUCGUUUCUAUGUUGGUAUCACCUACAAAAACGGUUUUGACUUUUGGGCUCACCCGUGGCAGUACAUUGCACAUUCUGAUAUUUUAUGUUCCUCCUUUUUAUUACUUGAUUAUAUAUCUAUUUAUUUGAAAAAGGAAUUGCUAUCCAACUGAGUGAGCUACAGCUACAGGUGAGAAGCGGCUCGGCUGGGGGUAGUGACGUGGCACGCCUCGCGAGCUGAGUCAUGAUUUUAGAGAGAAGAACCAGUUCGCUGUCCAACACGUCAUCAUCAUCAUUUCCCAACACAUCGCAUGCUUCUUUGUCUUCUUUUCAUUGAAUGCUGCGUUUCCUUAUGUUUCAAAGUUCAAACAUUUAUCAUUUUGUAUUUAUUCACAGUUUAUAUAUAUAUAUAUAUAUAUAUAUAUAUAUGUUUCAAUUCUAAUCAAAGAAAAGGUUUUAUUGGUUUCUCUUGAACAAGUCCAAUGUAUUUGUGAAGGGUCAUACUUUAUAUUAAUUUCUAAAUAAACUCACAAUGAGGGUUCAAGACAAAAUAAUAAUUUUUUGAGGAUGUUUUAUAUUGAGAGGAUCGAUAUAGCAUAUUAAAUUCAUAUACACUAUCUGAAUGUUAUGAUUCGAACUCAGAACCUUUGCUACAAAAUGAGAAUUUUAAUUUCUUAUUAUGAUUUCAAUUGAAAGUACAUGCAACUAGUAAUUAUUUGCAUUUUAUUAAUUAGUAAAUGUUGGGCAAACCGACCAUUCAUUUCUGGAUUAUAAUUAUUUACAAUUUUUCCGAUGUUUUUUUAAAAAAAAUAAAAUAAUCUCCGCAUGAUCAACUAGUCAUAAGAUAUUUGCUUUCUUGACAAACUAUAAUGUUAAACAAUCCAUCUGCAAUGACGAAAUUAUUGGUAUCUAACUUUGCAUCUGAAUUCCAUUUGUCUUACUAAUUAUAAUUAAUACAUUGUUUAAUAUAUAAGUAUUUGAUUAAUUUUACAGCUGAUACGACGCUCUCUUCUUUUUCUUUGGGUGUGCUUUUAGCAUGCAAUUGCAUUGGAAAGCAGAAAAGUUGACUGCAUCGGCAUGUGAAGCUCAGCACAUACGCAGGUUUUGGUAAAUAAGAAUUUUUCCAAGUCGUACCUAUUCUUGAACGCGACAUGAAUGUCUUCUGCUUUACCCCUUUACCACUUUACGUGUAAAAAAGCAUAUAUAUAUUACCCCACUCAUAUUCUUCAUUCCAUUAUCUCUAUGGAAAGCCAACCGGGAAAAUAAAGAAGAAGAAACGAAUAGCAGCAUCAUCUCUUUCAUUUGUGGCUUUGACCAAAAUUUAGACUUGCAUCAUAUAUAUUUGUAAAUUAGUCGAAGCCGGGACUAAGGAUGAGCUUAUUUAAUUAUACGUUCGUUUUAUAACUACUUAUUAUCUUUUUUUAAUUUUAAAAUAAAUUAAAAUUUUUAAAUAAAUAAAAAACCUCUCGUGAGCACGAAAGCGCGUGUAAUGAGACUAGUAUUGAAUAAAUUGGCAAUUUGGGUAACAGUUAACAUCAUCGUGAUGAAAGUAGUUGAUAAAUACAAGGCAUUAAACUAUUUCCAAUUUAAUUAAUUUUUUACAAAUUUAAGCUAGGGUGCACUUAAGUAUUUUGACUAAUAUAAUGAAACCUAACAUCUACCCCAACCAAAAUCCAAAUCCAUGGAGUUAUUAACUUAUAAAACUUGGGGCCGGCAUAGUGUAUUCAUACAGGCAACGCUAGUGGGCCUAAAAUGAUAAAACGAAUAUUAUCUGGGCCUUAUUGACAAGCAAAUUCACUAGAAAAAUGCUACGAAUAUACUUACAAAUUACAGCUAAACAUUCCACAUGCCAUACAGAUUUAGGCCCAGGACGUAUGCUAUAUUUCUGUCGCUUUCUUUGUGCAGAAGAACAACACAAGGGCAAGGCAAUUUACGGCUUGUUUGGAAUUGCUUUUAUAGGAAGUAUUUAUUUAUGUUCAUAAGUGUUUCUAAUCAAAAUGUUUUUAUUAUAAAAUUUUUGAAUAUUCAUAAAAAAUAAUUCAAGUGCUUCAUGAAAAGGCACUUAAAAUACAUAUUCAGCACAUAACAAGUGCUUCUUUAGAAAGUACUUUUAUAAUCCAGAAUCGUUUCUAAAUUUUCUGUCGAAUACUGUCAGAAUUACUUUUAACUCUUCAAAAAACUCUCCCAAAAUGCAAUAUCGUUUACACUUAUAUGUCUUCUUGUGUGCCGAUGAGAUGAGACGGCAUGUUCCGAGCAUAGUUUUCUUUCUCCUUAUCUCUCUUUUUUAGUUUUUCAAUGUCAUAGGAAAUAGAAACAGCAACCAAACACACCUUGGACAGAGAGGUUAGCUACACCAAGACAAAAUCCUAUAUACUUCAUUCCAAUCCAAGUCCCUAAAUCAUUUACAAGCAAAAUGAUCAACAUCUACUGCAAUGGUACUUUAUUGAAAAAUGAAUAAUACUAAUUUUUAUAUCACAUGAUGUGGCAGUUAAUGUGUACAUGCCACAUCAUGUAAAAUAUUAGUUUUUAUUUUUCUAAUUUUAUUUAUUAAAAUACAUUUCAUUCAUGUAACUGAUGUAGCAUAUGAUAUAGACAUGUCACAUCAUAUGAUAUAGAAACGUAUGAUAAAAAUGCAGUAAGUGUAGCAUUACUCAAACUAAUUUAUCAUUUUAUUUUCUUUUAUAAUUUAUUGACACUUUUUAAUUGAUGUGGUUGUACCUCAUCCGCCACAUAAGGUGGUAUGAGAGUGUGGUAAAACAAAAUAAUAAUUAAUUAACCAAAAAAAAAAGAAACCAAAAACACAAAUUGACCCCACCGAAUCUAAUGCCCCAAAAAAAAAACCCCAAAGAAAUUAACGUAUUUAUGCAUCGACGGCGGGCCACCAAACAAAGAAAUCUUAUUCUUUGGUGGUCUUAGGGUUAAAGAUGCUCACCAUCUUCUUAAGUUGAUCAACGAAUGAAAUAUACGGAACGGUUCCAUCAUUCCCAGCAAGCACUUUGUACUUGUCCUUCCUAGUGAAGUUAGUGCACUCAAACCCUAAUGUGGAGGCCAAUAUCAUCUGCACGUAAUUUGCAACUUCAUGAGGGCUUUUUCCGGACGAACACGUGGCUUCCAUAGGCAACUGGUUCAAGAACGUAACUUCAUAAACAGGCCUAGGGUUCAUGAAGAAGAAUAUGGGGUCCAAAGCUUUCCAACCUUUCGCCGUGGUUGCGUGGAAAAACCCUACCCUGUAGUUCAUGGCCACAGGAACAAUUCGGUUCGUAAGCUCAGCAAAGAGUGCACUGAACCUCAAGAGAAAAGGUUCACGACAUGUUGUUCCUUCUGGACAAACCACCAAGUCCCCUUUGGAUAGUUCAAGCUUGAUUCUUUCGGCAUCCACGUGUCGAACUCGGGUUAAACGAACGGUGGGGAUUGGUGCUAACAUCUCCGAUAAUCGAGAGAUUGAGUAUGUGACUGCUGGAAUUUUACGUUUGAGUACGCUUGAGAGGAUAACGGGGUCCAUUAGUGUUCGAUGAGUGCAGACGAAGAGCACGCCAGAGUUGCCACCGGAGAAGGGCGGUGGGGUUUUCCCUUUCACAAUUAUUUUGCCGCCAAAUAGUUGGGAUGUGUAGGGAAUAAGCGUCAUUGGCAAUAUCAACCCCAAGACUAUCCGAAUGAAGGCGAGUAAGAUGCCUAGGGGCAUCCAUAGUAGGAUUAGAAGGGCGGUUGAGGGCGUCGGGCGCUUGACUAAUCGGCCGUCAUGGAAGAUCACCGGAAGUGGUCUGAGGACUUGAUGCUCAUUCUUUUGGUUGGUCAUGGUAAAUGGUGGGUGCAUUUGUUCCUGUAGUGACAAGCCAUGCAUAUGCAUGAUUUACUUAACCAGUAAGAGUGAAUUGUGUACGUUUAAAACAACUUGAAAGAAAAAUUAAAUAAUUGUUAAAUUUAUGUGUCACAUAAUUAGUGAUCAAAAGUUUAUGUUUAUGUUAUGUGCCAUAUCAGUUAGUAAUAAAAAGUUGCGCUAAUAUAGCUGCCAUAUUAUCUACUUACCUUGCAUAGUGAUAGAAAUGAAGAACUUGAUGAUGAAGGCCUUCCCAACCCUAACGUUGGUUCCUCAUCUAUGAACACCUUUGCCACUCGGUCAUAUAUAUUCUGGGAACAAACUUGACUUUUAACAAAGCCUGUGGCAAACCCAAAUCGGCUCACAACAAGCUCACUACCAAUAACUUCAUCAGCUCUCAAGUGCUCCUUCACAAACCUCUCCACCAUAACCCUCGGCAUCUUAGUCACCACAACCCUCCUAUCAUAUAAGCUAAACACUUUCCAAGCCUCCAUAUCCAAAUCAUCCAUGUAAAACUUUGGCAAAACUGCUCUGGCCACCGAUUCAAUCUCCGACUCAGGAACACCACAAACAGCAACAAAAAUCAUAAGCUUAAGCCCAGCUUCCUCCGUACCAAUCAUCUCAAGAAACCGAAUAAUCGGCCACACCAUCAACAAGAAGGCAAACCGGAUCAAACCCGAUGCCUCAAAUGCCACCAACAUGAAGUAGGAGAAAGGGUCGGGGUCCUUGAGAAGUGUUCCUUCGAGCUCAGAAGCCACAGUCUCCAUUAGGCUACUUGUUUGCAUUUUUUCCAGGUUUUUUUGGUUUGGGAUAUUAUGCCGUAGACUUAUAUCUGGCUAUAAGUACUAUAUUUGGCUCAGGAUUUUGUAAAUUUGUCUGAGUUAGAAUGUAGGAAUGAAUUAGUUUAUCUGUUUACAACUAACCCUGCUUUAUAUAAUUACUCUCUGAUCAGUCUCUCUCCCUCUAAAUAGUUGAUCCGUUUUGGGUUUUGAGUGGAUGUAUCUGCAAAGAAAAAAGUUCAAUACGCCACGUAAUUAAAUACACACACAAAAGAUCGAUUACUUAACCUCAACAACUUAGGGUGAUGUGGACCUUUUUGCGACACAAAGUCCAUUUGUACACACCUAAAAAGUAGGUCUAAACUUGGGCCUUUAGGCCACUGACUUUGCGCUCAUAACGUGAGGAGCAAACAUGUUGUUCCAUUAAAUCUUCCCAUAUAAGGUUUUGCAAAAGGUUUCUGUGAUCUGUUUAGUGUUGCAUGGGGUUUAAGAUCAGCUGCCUGGCUGGCUGCCUGAUUAGGAAAUUUCUGGGAAAUUUCGGUUUUGAUUGGGUCUUGCCACGUUUUAGAUUUUGCUAUAUAUAGUUCUUUAUGGGUACGUUUUUCCUUGAUCUUAAUAGAUCAAUGGAGUUUCUGCUUUUCCCAUUAUGGAGAUUAAGGAAAAGAAUAUGACAUCGUACGAAUUUCCUUUUUCUACUAAUUUUUUGUGUAAACUAGGUAUACGACGUGCAUAAAUAAUGAAAAAAAAUAAAUUAAAGAUUUUCAUGCAUAGUUUAAGGUUAGAAAUCAAGUAACAAUCGGAUACGAGGUGCCUUCGAUUACGAUAUCCUUUCUGAUCAUAAGCAAUCUUUUGGGAUUUUGUUUAUAUGAAUGGUACGUAAUGUAUCUUUCACUUUGGCAAGUUUUCAAAAUCACGUGAGUCUUAAAAAUGAUUUGGGCAAUCUGUCAUACUGAAUCUCAAAACAAGCUGCAUGCAUGUGAUGUGGUGACUUUUUUGCAUUGGCAAAGCUUGCAAGAGGAAUUCAAAAUAGGUUAGAAAACCUAGCCAUUUGCCAUCUCCAGCUUUCCUUCCUCCUGCCUUGGUCUUGGUAUGCAUGUUGCUCAACCUCUCCGGUAAUAUCACACGCUUCUGUUUAAUUAUUUAUACGCAAAUUCUACCAAACAAACCGCUGGUUAAUUUUCUUUUGCUUUAUCAGAUUGACACGUAAAACUUCUGCUACAGGUUAGGUAAGGUUGGUUUGAAGAUGAAAACACAAACAUAGUUUGCAAGAUGAACCCAAAUUAAGAAUGUGUUAGCAGAAGCAAUGUUCGAUUGGUUCAAAUUCUUAAGCCCAAAAUUGGCCUAACAAAGACAGGCCGGCCGGGCCUUGAAAGAGGAAAGGUUUUUUCGCCCAAUAAUCUAACUUGACCUACUGUAGGUAUGAGCAUGAUCUUUCCUAACGUGCAAUGGUGCAAGUGUGCAAGUUGACACAAUGGAUGGCCUAAAGCAAGCUGACAUACAAUAGAACAAAAUAAUUCAGAAGGUGCUAAAUAUAGUUAUGAUGGUGGACAAAUUCAUCACAUUACAUAGCAGAAGUUGAUAACAGUGCCAUUUCAUCAUAGUUAUUGAAACCAAAAUUAAAAAUAUAUAUUAUUGACAGUUCAAAAAAGUUAUUUUAAAUUUAUUACAGUUGGAUUAUUUUUAAUUACGGUUGGAGAAAGAACAGUUGAGAAGGGAAAGAAAACAAACCUAACAGUCAGCAGCAGCAGUAGCAAUCAAAAGAAUGAUUUACCUAACCUUAUAUAUUUACCACAAUAAGGAUAAUAUAUUUAUGGGAAACAUACAUGCACAUCAGCCAUGAAUUGCGCUUGCCAAAUUUCGAGGUUAUGCCUCACCUCUCAUCUAUUCAUUUUAUUUAUAUUUUUAUGAUUUAUCUGUUCCUCUGUUUGUUUAAACUAUAAAUUAUUUGCAUGCGAGUUGACACUGAAAUAUCGGAAUGAAAGAUAACAUAAAUAAAGAGGGCUGGUAAAUGAACCCUAAAAUUAAUUGAGUACAUUUUAUAAUUUAAGUUAACUUUAAUAUUUUAAUUAAAAUAUAAAAUUAACCAAGUAUACCUUAUUUAACUACCAAAAAUAUCUAUAGUACAACACUCUAAUACCAAUCCUAAAUCAGGUUAAUUUUUUUUACAUGAAUCUGUGUCCUAUUUUCAUAUUUUGGGUUUCAUCAAAAUCUUUAAUUUCGUAAUACUGAUCCUAAACUAGUACUCACUACGUUAUUCGUGAGCACCAAGCAAUAUGAAGACUUUUCUAUGUUUGAUAAGGGUUGAAUAUAGUGCGUAAGGUGUGCUUAUUAAAAUUUUAUUUGUUUCACAAUUCAAUAUAUCAUUUAUGGUCAUUUUAUAUUAGGAUAAAUUAGUAAUUCAAUAAAUAGUUUGGUAGUAUAGUGUACUCAGUUAAUUUUAAGGUUCGUUUAACAGCAUUCUAAAUAAAAGAGGAUAUUUUCUUUUUCUUUUUGGCCGUCAAAAUUUUAUAAAAAAAACACCCCAAUAUAAUUUUCUUUUGGGGUGGCAUGCUUAAGCACAAUUAAGGUUCUUGGGUUUAAUCCAGAAACUGCAGACAGAUUAAUAGUUUUAUUUGAUAACAACGUACGUGGACUGCAUAUAUUUAUGAUUCAUGUAGAGGCAAAGCACAGACAAGUCACGUGACUGAGAGGCCACACAGCACAUGUCUGCAAAAUCAUCGUUAUCCACUGGUUUCUACAAAACAUGUAAACAAAUUGUAAACAAAUUGCGGCUGACAUAAUCACAAAACGAACAUUGUCACCAUUAUAUAAAUACAUGCUUUCUGUAUUAUAUUAAAAGAAGCAAAAAGAAAAGGCAUCUUCUUUGCCCGUGGUUUGGGGUGUCUGUGUGGUAGCUGGUUUCGGCCGCAUUCACUGGAGUUUAUUCUGUUAGCUUCUAGUUAUAGUGGGUGGCAGUAUUAGCCAAAGUUUUAAAUAAGCUAAUCAUCAUUCUAUUAUAAAUUUUAUUUAUGCUAAAGUUUAGUUUAAUUUUUUAUAUUCCACCAGGGCAAGUUGAGAUCGGUUUUAUUUAGGGUUGGUUGAAGUUGUGAGGGAUGGUGAGGUAAUGAGUUACAUUUAGGAUAUGUCCAUAACCUCAAUCUUCCUCGAGUGUAAUAAAAAAAUAAAUAUUCUAAGGCAUCAUAAUGACCAUUAGAGUGACAUCGAUGUGGUUUUGAAUAACAAUCUUUCGAUGUUUUUGUUAAAAAGGUUGUCUAAAACUAGAUUAGCAAAAGUUUUAAGCCAGUCAAAUACUAGUGUGUGUAUAACUGAAGAGUUCUUGGGAAAGCUUAUAUACAAGCUUUGGGUGAUUAGUGCCUUUAUAUCUUGAUGGCUGUUAGUUUUCCUCACCAAAUAAUCAAUUGUUCUUAUUAAUUUGUUGCCUAACUAAAAUCUUACCCACCAUUAUGAAUGUGCCAAACAUUUUCAUUCAUUUCAGAACAAGUACUUGCCUCAUUACUGUGGUUGAGAUGGUUUGGUAAGGAAGCCCCAAACUUAAAUGCACCAUUCAAAAAAUCUACUUCAACUUUUUUUUUUUUUCGUGAACAUUUCCUAUUGAGAGAGACGAUAAUAUAUUAAACUCACACACACUACAUGGAUGCUACAAGCCAACGACUCAAAUCCAAAAUCUUGCAUGGAGGAGCAAUUACUCCAACCACUACACUAGUGGGUCUUUUGCAAAUUUUUUUUUUCUUCUUUUAAGUGAAACUAUUUUGUACCCAAUCAUUGUAAUUACAUGCUCCUUUGUGUCUGUGUAGUAAAAUUAGGUUAAACUUUUGCAGGAACAGGGGAAAAAGUUACUGCUUAUAGUCCUCUCCUCUCUACAUGUACCGUACGUAACCUUGAAUUUCAAUAUUGUCUCUACGCAUAGUAUUGUUGUGCUUGUCAAAAAUCAACUAGAUUAAACUUAGUAUCAAACGCAUGUACUUAUUUUCAGCUUUCUACACAAAUUCCAAGCCAGAUGUAAGUUGUAUAACUUGUAUCUGUGUUCCACCACAUGUUCUUCACAAGCUAUGGAUUGUGUCAAAUAUGUUGUUGUGUUUGUUGUUUAGUGUGCGAUAAAAGUGUCUAUAUUUAAGGCGCAAUUAUAAAGUGUCAACGAAUUUUAUUUUUUACAUUUUAAAUACGCAAAAUGUAAUAAUUUGAUUUAACACGUGCCGAGUUUAAGUGUGUGAGAUAAAAUUGUCCACAUAUAUGUUAAAUGCAGUUAGAAAAGUGAAAGGAUCUUCUUUUCUACAAUUUAAACUAGCCUCUCUGCACGCGCUUCUGCCCUUGCGAGAGGUUUUUUUUUUAAAAAUUUAAAUUUAUUUUAGAAUUAAAAAAGAUAAUGGAUAGUUGUGUUCCAUAAAAAUAGGAUCCAUUAUCUGAAUUUUCUUUUAAUUUUAAUUUUUUUAAUAUGAAAAAUUGUGAAUUUAUCAUAUUAUCCUCAUUUAAUUAAUAAUUUUAAUUCUUAAUGUUUGCAUUAACCAAGGACAUUUUCUGGUAUUUUGAAUGUUUCACCAUUCUCUGCUUUUUGCUUUAUAUAUAUAGAUACACUAUUAUAUAUACUAAUUUAAUAUAAGAAGCGCCGAGUUUAAGCUUGUGAGACAAAGUGUACAUAUGUCGAACACAAUCACAAAAUGUGAAAAAAAAUCUCGUUUUAUACACUUUUUUAAGUGUCACAUGUACUAAAUUGACGCCGAGUUUAAACUUACGGAUGCCAACCAAUCCAAUCUUCUAUGCGACAUACAACAUCUUGUCUUUUGCAGUUCUAGGUUUUGUAAAGAUCAUAUCCUUAAAAAAAAAAAAAACCAGAUUCAUACAUUUCAGUUUUUUUUGUUGUCUGAAAAAUCAAAUUAGGGUUUCAUAAGCCAGUCAAAGUGAAAUUCUAAUAAUAAUAUACUCAAUGUGGUUAGGUGGUUACUUUUUGUUUUCUUGCUUGUUGCCACUAUUAUUAUAUAUUUUUGCCCUUAAAUUAAGUAAUUCGAUGUCUUAUGUCAUUAAUUAUAUGCGUGAUAAACUAAUUAGGAAUGAAUUACCAAAGGAAAAUCAAAAUCUCACAUAUACUUUAUUUUACUUCUUAUAUUGUGGAGAGGAUCUCCCAUUUAAGAUGGUCUAGUUUUUUAUUUUAUUGUCUUGUUGUUUGUUUAUUUAUUUAAAUUCCAAUAUAUUAAUUACAUCAAAUUAUGAAUUUUUUUUAUAAGUUCAAAAUUAUGAUUUGGAAACUAUAUGUUUGGUAAAUUUUGUAUAAAUUCUUCACCUUACUCAUCGUUUUUAGUACCAUGUGGAUAUUAACCAGAAUCCCAACACAAUGUAUAGAAUAACCUAUCAAUUUAAUCCACAUAGAAAGUUGAUAUUGACUUUCUUUUUGGAUCUAAUCAAAAUUACCUUCCUAUUUUUUUGGUUUCAAAUUCUUGACAAAUUCUUUAAAGACUUUUUAAAUAUUUAAAAGUAUAACAAAAUAUAUAUUUGUAAAAAAAGUGUAACAUAUAUUGAUUCCCACAUCUUAUUUUUCAUUUUUUUCUUCUUCUUCUGAAAACCUAAUUCUCACAAUGAAGAGAUUUCCAUAACGAUGCAGAUACAGAUUAUCAUUCCUAAAAAAAACGAAAUUAAAUGCAGAAUGCAAAAACUGAGAAUUAUGAUUUAUUAUUUUUUUGGGUCCAAAGAGAAUUUAUGAUAUGAUCUCUAGAUCUCUACUGCAGAUUUGACAUUUCCUUCCAAAUACAAGACACCAACACAAAAAUAAAUAAAUAACGUGCGUAUUAAAACCUUUAACUCAACCCAAUCAAAUCAAAGAAAGAAAAAACCUUUGCAUUCAAUUAUAAAAAAAUUUAAUCCAAUGCAAACAGGUAGCAGCGCAGCAGUUAGACGAUGAAAUAGAACCCUAAAAGACAUCUUUGUAUGGACAUAUCCUGACCGUCACUUCUCAUAUCCUACGGCUCAGAAUUUCCCACUGCUUGUGCUUAUCAUUGCCCUCUUUCUCACUUCACUGUCUCCCUUCCUCUUUCUUUUCUCUCUUUGUAAAAAUGGCUGAAUCCAUAUUUGAUCAUCUCAGCACAAUCCGAUCCUCGUCUUACUGAGUAUAUAAUCCAUACUCGGCGUUAAAAAACCAAUCUUUUUACUUUCAGUGCAAAAUUUUGAGAUAUGGGUUCGUAGUUUUUGAUCAGAAAAAUCGUUUUAUCCGAAGCUUUAGGAACAAUCCCAUUUGGUUUUUAGCAGUUUUAAGCUAAACCCAAGCUGAAAGUUUUGAUUUUUCUUCAGUUUCACUGUUUAUAUUCAAUAUUUUGAUGAUUUUUUAUUGUGAUAUAUGACAUGGUCACCGAUACUUACUCGAAGAUGAUGUCGGAGAUGUCAAUGCGUUCCAUGUUGAAGAACGGCGAAGAUUUGAGUAUGUUGAUUCGCGAACAGAGGCGUCAACACGAAGCAAGUGAGCGAGAGAAGGAGGAGCUCAAUCUGUACAGAAGUGGGUCGGCCCCACCCACAGUCGAAGGCUCGUUAAACGCGGUUGGGGGCUUGUUCGAGGACUCGGCGCUGUCGGGUUUCACGAAAAACGGCAGCAAAGGCUUUGCGACCGAAGAGGAGCUUCGUGCCGAUCCAGCUUAUGUGACUUACUACUAUUCCAAUGUGAAUCUCAAUCCGCGGCUUCCGCCGCCGCUGGUUUCGAAGGAGGACUGGCGUUUUGCGCAGCGGUUCCAAGGCGGGGGCGGUGGAGGUGGAGGUGGAGGUGGAGGUUCGGCUGUUGGAGGCAUUGGAGAUAGGAGGAUAGGAGGUAGGAGUGGUGGCGAAGGUGGGGAUGUGAACAGGUCACUUUUCUCGGUGCAGCCAGGGGUUGGAGGGAAGGAGGAGAAUGGGGUGGCCGGGAGGAAGGCUCCGGCGGAGUGGGGCGGUGAUGGGUUGAUUGGGUUGCCGGGAUUGGGACUUGGGAGUAGGCAGAAGAGUAUUGCAGAGAUCAUUCAGGUGAAUUUUUAGUGAAGUUUGUUGCUUUAACUGGUUUAUAUAAUAAACUUUUUAUCUUGAAUGUUGUUUGCUAUUGGAAAAAUUAGAUGCACUCCUGUAAGUGUUUCUGUUUGUAAUGAUAGUGUGAUAAGUUUUGCCUACUGGUUUCAAGUGAUUAUUUUUCAUCUCUAAUUUAUGUGUUUUACAUGGGCUAAGUCUUUAUGUUCAUUCAUUAGAUGAUUUACUCGAUAUCUGGUUCAGCUCCUCUAAGCAGGCCUUUUGGUCAUACCCAUGAAGUGGAAGGAGUCCAUGAAUUAGUGCCUUUGACAGUGGUUUCUCUCAAUUGUCAGCUGAAUAAUUCCAUGAGAUGGAGGUGCUCAUUGGGAUGAGGAAUUGAACUAGUUCUUCUGACACUAGCUCAGUUUUCUUAAAUUAUUAGCCUUUAUGUUGUUGACAUUGAUAUUGGGUUUUCAGUCAUGCUAUAAUCUUGCUUCUUAAGUAUAGUUUUCAUUCUUUGCAUAAAUGUCUCACCAAUAGAAUGUAAACUUAAUUGGAAUGGAAACUGUUGCUGCUUAUGUGGAAUGCUGGAGGUAUUUGGAUCUAGUUUAGGUGAUUGAUGUUUGCUUCUCGCUCUACACUUUGUCUUGCAUAUGUAGAUGCAUAUUUGAAACUUUAUAUUAGCAUGUAGAAUGUGAAAGUGGUUACAAGUUAUAACUAUAUAUAAAUUGCAUUUUAUUACAUUUUCUGGUUAUUUUUACUUGUGUUUUUCAUGAUUAGAGUUGAUUUAAACCUUCCCUUAUUUUGGUUUGUUGGUAGAUCUGCUCUUAUGGUCUUUUUGUUGUAUACUUCCUUUCCUGGUCAAGUUUGAUUGUCUGCUACGAUUUUUGUAAAAUAAAUUGAGUUUGUAUUUCUUUUUUGGCACAAAGCUGCUGUGUAAAACGUUUGGUAUUUCAAUGCAGGAUGAUAUACAUAAUACAAAUGUCUCAAGACACCCUUCUCGUCCAGCUAGCCGGAAUGCAUUUGAUGAUGGUGUUGAAACUUCAGAAACCCAGUUUGCUCAUCUGCAUCGUGAUUUGGCAUCUAUAGAUGCUUUGCGUUCUGGUGGAAAUAAGCAAGGAAUGUCUGCUGUCCAGAAUGUCGGCUCAUCGGGUUCUCAUACAUAUGCUUCUGCUUUGGGUGCUUCAUUGUCGAGAAGCACGACCCCAGACCCUCAGCUUAUAGCUAGGGCUCCUAGUCCUCGGAUUCCACCUGUUGGUGGAGGAAGGGCUUCCUCCAUGGAUAAAAAAAUUGCCAAUGGUCAAAACUCAUUCAAUGGUGCCUCACCCAAUGUGAAUGACUCUGCAGAUCUAGCAGCUGCUUUAUCUGGUAUGAACCUGUCGGCAAAUGGCAGGAUAGAUGAAGAGAAUCAUGCACGCUCACAAAUUCAACAUGAAAUUGAUAACCACCAUAACCUUUUUGAUAUUCAAGGUGAUCGGAGCCAUAUGAAACAAAAUUCGUAUUUGAAUAAGCCUGAUUCUGGGAAUUUUCAUUUGCAUUCUGUUUCCCAAUCUUCUAAAAACUCUUAUCAGAAUAUGGGGAGAGGCAGUGGGUUUGGGAGGGAUCUGAACCACCCUUCAUAUAUGUCUGAUGAUCCAGUUGAAAUUAAUAAUCCCGCUGCAUCUGCUAACUCAUACUUAAGGGGACCUGUGCCAGGUCUUAAUGGCCGAGGAAGCUCAUUCUCCCAGUAUCAGAAUGUAGACAGUACCUCGUUUCCUAACUAUGGCUUGGGUGGGUAUUCUGUUAGUCCUUCGUCUCCAUCCAUGAUGGGAAAUCCACUUGGUAAUGGUAGUUUACCACCCUUAUUUGAAAAUGCUGCUGCUGCAUCUGCAAUGGGUGGCUUGGAUUCUGGAGCAUUUGGAGGAGGUAUGUCUCUAGGACCAAAUUUGUUGGCAGCAGCUGCUGAAUUGCAGAAUAUGAACAGGCUUGGAAAUCACACUGCUGGGAGUGCUGUCCAGGUGCCCAUGAUGGACCCAUUGUAUCUUCAGUACUUGAGAUCAAAUGAAUAUGCUGCUGCCCAGGUUGCAGCCUUGAAUGACCCCACAAAAGAUAGGGAAGGCAUGGGUAAUAUGUAUAUGGAUUUACUGGGUUUGCAAAAAGCUUAUCUGGGGCAAUUGCUUUCGCCUCAAAAAUCACAAUUUGGUGUUCCCUACAUUGGUAAGUCUGGUAGCUUGAAUCAUGGUUACUACGGAAAUCCAGCAUAUGGGCUUGGCAUGUCUUAUUCUGGAACAGCAUUGGGUGGCCCCCUUCUUCCAAACUCUCCUGUUGGACCGGGUAGUCCUGCCAGGCACAGUGAUCGGAACUUGCGUUUUUCUUCUGGGAUGAGGAACAUGGGUGGAGGUCUCAUGGGAGCUUGGCACUCUGAAACUGGUGGAAAUUUUGAUGAAAAUUUUGCUUCCACUUUACUAGAUGAGUUCAAAAGCAAUAAGACUAAAUGUUUUGAACUUUCAGAGAUUGCAGGGCAUGUUGUUGAGUUCAGGUAUAUAUUUGUUGCUGUUUCUUUAAAAACUUAUGCCUUUUACCUAUCCAGAUCUCCAGGGAUUAAGUCACUCAUAUUUCCUUGAACAGUGCCGACCAGUAUGGAAGUCGGUUUAUUCAACAGAAACUUGAAACUGCCACAGCCGAAGAAAAGAACAUGGUCUUUGAUGAAAUAAUGCCCCAAGCCCUUUCUCUAAUGACCGAUGUGUUUGGUAAUUAUGUGAUUCAGAAGGUACUUUUUCCUGUUUAGAUUGAUUUGGCUUUAUGUGCCAAUUCCAUGUGUUCUUUUGUAUUACCAUGUUCAUAAUAUGCUUUGGAUAAGUGGUUGAUAAAAAAAGUGGAAUAUUUCUUCCCUAUGACUGAAUUUUUCACUUUGAGUUCAGUUUUUUGAGCAUGGAACUGCAUCACAAAUAAGAGAACUUGCUGACCAGCUCACUGGGCAUGUGCUGACCCUUAGCCUUCAAAUGUAUGGCUGUCGAGUGAUCCAGAAGGUAUGUUCAGUUAGUUGACCAAAGUUCUGACAGUAACCUGUCAUAUUGAUAUUUCCUGCAUGUUUUACUUUCUGGCUUUCCUACAAAAGCAGGAGGGUUACCUUCUACAUUUUUGUAUCAUAACGUGUUAUGGGAGACCGGCUAAUUAUGUUAUCUAAUAUGUUCGGGGGUCUUCUUAGAAAUUAUUUGUGAGAAACAAAACUUUUGGGUUUUACUCUGGGAAAAUUAUUUUCUCAAGUUUGAAUUUCAUGAGUCACAAUGGAUGAACUCAUUGCUCUUGUACUUCCAGGGAAGUGGAAUACAGCUUAAUAGAUAUAAAUCGUAUAAGUUGAAAGAAAAACAUUACUUCCAUAAUUAUACAGAUUUUUUUUUCUGUAGUUUUCGGGGAAAAUGUAAAUGAAAUUGUACACCAUUGAUGGGUACAGAUAUCCAUCAUAUUGCAUUGAAUUCAGUUUUCAUGUGCUUCCAUUUUACUGUUCAGGCUAUAGAAGUUGUUGAGCUGGACCAGCAGACUAAAAUGGUAGGUGAACUGGAUGGCCAUGUUAUGCGUUGUGUUCGUGAUCAAAAUGGGAACCAUGUCGUUCAGAAGUGUAUUGAAUGUGUACCUGAAGAUGCCAUCCAGUUUGUUGUUUCAACUUUUUAUGAUCAAGUCGUGACACUGUCAACUCAUCCAUAUGGUUGUCGUGUCAUACAGGUUAAGAACCGCUCCAUUUUCUGAAACAUGUUCAUGUUUGCGCAUUUACUAAUCAUAUCAGUUGGAUAGGUUGAAGAUGAAUCAUUAUCAAUGCAACUGUUGCGAUUCUGAAUGGUAUAAUAACUUUGAUGUAACAGAGAGUUUUGGAGCACUGCCAUGACCCCAGAACGCAGCAAAUAAUGAUGGAUGAGAUUCUGCAGUCUGUUUGCACUUUGGCGCAAGACCAAUAUGGAAAUUAUGUUGUACAGGUUUGUCACAUUUCUGAGAAACUUUUUUCACUCCAGUUUCUUAUUGUCAAAGAAAAUAAUCCCACCGUGGUUAGAUACAAUCUGUUGUUUUAAGUAUCAAAUGGACCUUCACUUAAUCUACUAAGUUUCUUCGUUAGAUGCUAACUUGAUACUUAUUUAAUGUAGUAUAAAGGUUCAAUUUGAUUUCUCUCUAGACAUCCAGGUCUUAUCUUAAGCCCAAUUUUUUUUUUUGCCUCUUCAUGCAUUUGUGACUUCACUUAAAUCCAUUGUUGAACUUUAAGUUUCAUACUUAUAACGGGACGGUAUCUGUCCAUUAAAUGGAGGGAUUGAAUGGAACUGAGGAAUAAUAUGAUUUCAGCUCCACUCCCCUCUCCCUACCAAUUUAGUGUUUUCAUAUUUCUUUGCUUUGAGUUCUGUUAUAUACCUUACUUGGCGUAUUGGAUGAGUUGAUGCACCCUUACCUAAUUGUUUCGUGAUGUAAAUUAUUAGCUUUAUAUGGUAGACCUGUCUGUCUCUGAUUUUGCCCCAAUUUUACUUUCUUUACAUUUCAGAGCAUGUUUAACUAACUCACUCGUAACUGUAAAAACAAAUAAGCUGUGAGACUACAACAGAACCAAUGUGGUGACUAUAAAUUGUUUAGUUUGGGAAUAAUCAUUUAUAGCCCCUGUCAUGCUGUAUAUGCUAAAAUGCCUGUUUUAUUCCUCUUUUACAUUGAACUCAGUUAAUUGAUUGUGAUUAAUUUUACAGCAUGUGCUGGAACAUGGAAAACCACAUGAACGAUCAGCUAUCAUUAAGGAACUAACUGGCCAGAUUGUUCAAAUGAGCCAGCAAAAAUUUGCAUCAAAUGUCAUAGAAAAGUGUUUAAGUUUUGGAACUCUUGCUGAACGCCAGGCCCUUGUAACUGAGAUGCUCGGUACCACUGAUGAAAACGAGCCCCUUCAGGUUUGCUACUGAUCUAUGUGCAUUUUGUCUCUCUAAAUUUCAGUGUGCAUUGGUGAAUGUAUUCUUUUAUUGUUGUAUAGCUUUCUUUAUUUUUGAUUCUUUAACUCUUUUCUUGUCUCAACUUGCAAUCUUCAGAUAUACUCUGGCCUUGCAUCUUAAGAAUGGGUUUCCUGAACAUGCAAUCUUCUGUAACUUUUGGUGCUUUUAUGAUAAUACUGUUACAUUGUGAAGUAACAUUUCUGUACAAUUUUCAAGCUCUUAUGUUUACUAUUUAUGCUUAUAUGUUUACCUGAAAUGGUGGUCUCUUAAAAUGACCUUGUGAAUUCAUUGGAAUACUAGUGAACUCGUUGGGCUUUCUUCCAGCUAUUAUCUUUAGUUCUCUGAUCAAUAGCUAUCAUGUGUGUUAUAUCACAUGGCAGAUAAAAGUUAUAACUAUUAUAUCUAACAUUCUCAGUGACGAUUGGCCUCAUCCCAAUCAAUUACUUUUGGAUCUAGCUGUAUUGCCAAAGUAUUUGAAUUGUAGCCCUAGUAUAUAAUAAAAGUACAAAAAUGAUAGUAUGACUAUUCAAAGAUUGAGUUGUCUUAGUGCCCAUCUUUUUUUGGUUAACAUUGACUACUUUUCAAAUGAAUGGAGUGGCUGACUGGUUUACACACAACUUUUUAGAGCAUUAAGCUUCUUCUCUUUGUUAUUGUGAAAUCUUUUGAAUACUAUGUGGUUUUGGGAAAAUGAUUUGCCAGGCUUUGGUUUUGUAAACGGGUGUAUAUGCAGUCUCAUACUAGUUUCUGAUUUUUUUUUUGGUUUGAAUUUAGGCGAUGAUGAAGGACCAGUUUGCAAACUAUGUUGUACAGAAAGUGCUGGAAACUUGUGACGAUCAGCAACUUGAACUAAUCCUUAACCGAAUUAAGGUUCAUCUGAAUGCUCUGAAGAAGUAUACUUAUGGGAAGCAUAUAGUUGCACGUGUAGAGAAACUUGUUGCUGCUGGAGGUACUUUUUCCCUCACUUUCUCCUUUUGUCUUUUUUCUUGGUCUCCUUUUCUUUUCUUUACCUUUGCUUAUACAUAAAUUAGUGCAUCACUUGCAGAUCGUUGAUUCUCUAAAUUUUCCUCAGCUUCAUAUUAGAGUAUGUUUAUCAAUUGAUUAAACAUCAAUGUGCACCUGAUGGAUUGAUAUUAGGGUGCCUUAAGUAAAAGUGCUCUACUGAACACUAAUAAGAGACAAAGAAUUUAUGACACAUCCAAACUUCAUAGAAACUUUUUGUUUAAAAAAAAUAUAAUUUAAUAUCAAACUCUAAAAACCAUACCUGUACAUAUUUAUUUAUUGUCAUUUAGGUGUUGAAGUAGACACGUUUGUUUCCUAUUCAGUGUAGGAUUCACUAUUUGCCUUAGAAUAUCUUGACUUUCAUGAAAUAGCAUUUGGAAUAGAAGUGACAUUUGAUAUCAUCCUACAUCUCAGCGAUGCUUAAACACACGAUACACGAAAAUACUUAUGAAUCCUUAUUUGGGUUUUCCCCCAAUGCAAGAAGUUGAUUGUUGUUUCUCAUUGACAUGCUGAAGAAUGAACAAUGUAAUUUUCUAGCAUAAUAUGUAAAUGCCAUUCCCUCUUCAAAUCUUUGGCUCUUAUGCUACAGACAUUUGAAUCCCGACUGUCUUAAUUAGCUAACAAGGUGCUCAAUCUUUUGCAGAGAGGAGGAUUAGCAUUCUGGCUCCGCAUGCUUCUGCUGCUUAGAUGGGGUCACGAGAAUGAAGUUGUACAGCUAACUGAGGAUAAUAUGAGCCCCUCUCUUUCUUUCAUGUCUAGUAAAGUCUAUGUAUUGAGAUGGAUAAGGCGCAAUGAAAAUAAAGAUUGUUGGUUGUACUUAAAACUGUACAUUGUUAGUUUGAGGAUAUACCUUAGAGUAGUCGCGGCCCAGACGGUGAACACACCUGAGGCCCCUGCAGAGGAGAUAAAUUUAGUGUACAAGUUUUAAGGGUGUAAAAAGCAAGGCGGUAGUAGAAUUUGUGGUCGUGACUGUACAAAUGUUACCAGGUGGAGUCCUCCAUAAAUUUUUUUGAUGUAUGGCAUUGAUUAUUUUCUAAUUAAGGAACUUUUUUUCCCCAAAAAUUUGCAAGCUGAGAUUCUAUUUCCAGAUUUAUUAUGCCAUGCUGUUGCACGAAAUUUAAUGCUUUUCCAUGCUGAUUUUCUUGAUAUUUUGAUCUGAUAUGUUGGAAGGAAAGAAAAUUUCAUGGCAAAUUUGUUAUGUUUGAGGCCAAACUUGGGGUUUUGAAGCUCCAACAAUUGGUGAUUGUUCCUCCUGCCUGAAAUGGCAUUAUGAAUUAUUCUUGGGCUUAAUCUCUCUUCUCCCAAAGGCUUUAAUUGAGGCUCAAUGGGGGGCAACAGGACCUGUUCUUUUUCCCUAAAAUACUAGGUUUGUAUAACUUUGAGUUUACUUUUUUUCUUUAGUUGAAUCUUUGAAUUAAACUGGAAAGAAACUGCAACCCAAAAAAAAAAAAUAGUGGAAAAAAGAGGAAAACCGGAACCAUUAUACCAAAAAACCAGUGAUACAUAGCACCAAAGUUUAGUGCCAAGUUGCCAACAAUACAAAAGCACCCAAAAAUUACACAGCAUUUUGCCUUGGGCAUGGUCUCUGCUCAAAUAGAUCAUCCAUAGUUAGGAGGACAAAAUGUAAUGACAUAGCGAGGAGCUUUACAAGUCUUGAGCCCUGUAGAAUCAUCAAAGGCAUAACUAUAAGCCCUGGGACAAAUAGCCUUAAAAAGAUGACCAAAAACAGUUGGCUUGCAACUCUUUGGAUCUGCAAACACCCCUCUGCAGCAAUACCUGUCUGAAUUUGCAGCCAAACAAGCGCUCUUGCAGCCUACAACCUUCCCUUGUUUCAUCACCACCAAUGUAGAUGGGCAGCAAACAUUCAAGUCAGCCUCACAAGCAGCAACCCCACACCCCAUCCUACCACCUAUUGGCCUCAUCGAAACCGGAACGUUGAACCCAUCAACCAAACUCACAUCAUAGUAAUGCAAGUCUGAUUUGGAGGUCCCAAGUGUCAUUUCAACUAGUGUGGCUGGAGGCACUCCACCAAGUCCCCUGCAUUGUAAGAGCCCGGCGCAAUCCCCUGUUUGGCAUGAGCCUUUUCCCGUUUGUUCAUCAAAGCAGCAGCCUUGCCUGCCCCAUAGUCUUCCUGACCAGUUUUCUGGCACGUCAAGGACUUGCUGUUCCCCGCUGUGGAGAUGGAAGCCGCCGCUUUGAGGAGUUGGGUAGCCUGCAGUGCCAAGGAUCCCGGGCCAUAUGCUCUCCUUGCAGUUGUUCACUAUAAUGAGUUGAGUUCCAUCUGCAACAGAGAUAUAAAUGUUGUUAAUCUAAGUUUUAGAAAACCACAGAUUCUAUGAGUGAAAAAGAGGGAGUACCUGUGAAGGACAGGGAGAUGAGAAAGCAGAGGAAGAUGAAGACUUGUGAGAUUGUCAUCUGAAAUUGAUAUGAAUGAUGGAGAUGGCUGGGAUGUGCUGCUAUUUCUCUGUGUGUUUAUGAUUCUACUACGUGUGGAAAAAAGAGAAAAGGAAUUUCCUGCUUUGUCGCCAACAUGGAAGGAGUGGUAACUUUAAGAACAACUGCACAUGUAAUAACGGUUUGCAAAGUUCAAGACUUGUAAAUUUAUAUUUAUACAAAGUUUGCAGAAAAGAUAUAGGCUACUUUUUAAACACUCAUUUUAAAAACUACAAGGAACCCACUUACAAGUAAAAGCUCAAGUUUGGAUUGACAGCUUCCUACAUCACAGACAUUAGGCAAAGUAAACCCUAAGCUCAAGUUUAGGGUUUAACUUUCAUUUGUAUGUCCUCUCUCUCUGUUUUUUUUCCGGUUUUACUCUAUAAUCCUCUUGGAUUAUCUAAUUGUUGCAGUGCAAAGAGGCAUGCCCAAGAUGGUUUUUUAUUAUUCUUCUUUAGGAGAGAAACUAUCAUGUAAAGCAAUGACACGUAGGAUAACUUUUCUACAUAUUAUUAUGUUAUUGGCCGUGAAUAGCAAAACAGUGUUAUUCCCGUUAUAAAUAAGUUUUUUUUUCUUUCUAUACUUCUUUUGAUAUAGAAUUCAAACAAAAGAGAAGUAAUUCAAAUUUCAAAGUACCCCAUGAUGCCUCUCACUUUAGUUCCACUUUUAUCAUAAGAUUCCAUCCCUUUUUCUUAUUGCUACCACAGUCCCAUUAUAAUAGCAAUUUUGUUGUGGAUUGGAUCUAUAUUUAAAUUAAUGAGAGACUUUACUUUUUAGAUUUUCCAAAGAUGCAAGUGGUAUGGAGCAAACCUCAAAUUUUCCAAUGGAUUUGCAGCUUCAAUGUUAAAUCUCAUUUUCACCUACAAUUAUUAAUCUUCAUCCGUUAAUGUCCAUUAGACUUUGAAGGUUGUAGGUUGAUGCACACUCACAUUUUAUAUCAUUUCCUUAGCUAGUAACAUACAUGUGUAAGUCUUUGUAUGCCGUUUUGGCUUAUGAAUAAAAUUCUCUUCUAAAAAAAAACACAUACAUGUGUCAAGUGUUUUGAUGGAUGCAUACGAUUUUAUGUGUCUAUCACUUUCAUCAUAAAAAUGUCUUUAUGUGUCUGUCACUUUCAUCAUACGAAUUAUCUGUCAAAAUUCUAUUUUUAUAGGUAAAUUCAAGUAGAAAUAUUGGUCAGUUGAAACUAUAUUUAAAUAGAAAAUGUGGGUUUCUUUUUGGUAAAUUAUUCAGCUAGUUAAAUUUUUUUGAAGGAUAAUCAUUUGUGUCUGAAGAAAAAAAAACUUCCUCCAAAACAAGAAAAUGUCAUAGCCUCUGAAUCCAAUCGAAGAAGCUUUUUAUACACUUAAUUAAAAGAACCUUUAUAUUUUUGAGAAACAAGAAAUUGAAUUUUAAAGUUUAAGACAGACCAAAAAAAGAAACCAGACCCAGACCUGAAGUGUAACUACCGCGAAUCGCCGGUUCAUUUGAUUUUGCCGGGCGCCGGCCUGUCCGAGUUUCAAGUUGAGUCACGGCUCGUUAGCGAGGAAACCGGAAGGUUCGGUUUCUCGUUUUCCAAAACCGUUUAAACGAAUGUCACUCUGACCAGAUCAACCGUUAAGCCCAAUAUAAAUAAAGAAAUAAUGGUCAGUAAAGCGGUUGAGCCCAAACCCUAACCGGUCCAUCCGGUCGCUCACCCACGGUUUAUAAUCCCCAUUUUAACCACCCCAACUCGGUUCUGUUUCCCAAAUAGACUUCUCUCUGUUUAUCAGAAGUAUUCAAAGAACCAUAAACAAGUAAGCUCUCUCUUUUUCCUCUCUCACCCUCAAUUUUUAUGUGUUUAAUUUUAUUGAGUGAAGUAUAUGCACCAUAUUGAUGCUGGGAUUGAUGGGUUUCUGUUGAAUUACUUGGUUUAACUUUGAAUUGAAGAAGAAAGUGUUUGUCUUGUUGUAAUGGGUUUUGGCCUUUUUUGCAAAUAAGUUGAGUUUUUGGAGGUUGUGGAUAUGGCUUCGGGUCUGGUAAUGGAGCCUGUACCGAUUACAUCACAAAAACACGACCCUGCAUGGAAACAUUGUCAAAUGUUCAAGAAUGGGGAGAGGGUUCAACUCAAGUGUAUAUAUUGUAGCAAAUUGUUUAAGGGUGGUGGGAUUCAUAGGAUUAAAGAACACCUUGCUGGUCAGAAGGGUAAUGCAUCUACUUGUCUACUGGUUCCACCCGAUGUUCGGGCUUUAAUGCAACAGAGUUUAGAUGGGGUUGUGGUGAAGAAGAGAAAUAGGCAAAAGCUUGAUGAAGAGAUUACUAAUAUUACUCCAUCACCUCAUGGUGAGGUAGACUCACUUGCCCUUCACAGUGAUGUGAGUAAUGGGAUUCAGUUGAUUGGAGCUCCUGUGACGCUUGAACCCAAUUUGGAGUUGUUAGUGAAUCAAGAGGGCAUGACAAGUGAGAGGAGUCUGGAUAGAAGGAAAAGGGGGAGAGGUAAACAUUCUUUCUCAGGCCAUGGUGCUUUUGGUGUUACCAAUAGUGCUGCAUUAGGUUCUAGAAAAGUGAACAAUUAUGUUCACGAGGCAAUUGGACGGUUUUUGUAUGAUAUCGGGGCACCUCCAGAUGCGGCAAACUCUGCUUAUUUCCAACCGAUGAUUGAUGCAAUUGCUUCAGGAGGUUCCGGGGUUGAGCCUCCCACGUACCAUGAUCUUCGAAGUUGGAUAUUGAAGAAUUCGGUUGACGAAGUGAGGAAUAAUACUGAUAAAUAUAGGGCCAUGUGGGGAAGAACUGGUUGUUCAGUUUUGGUUGAUCAGUGGAACACGGAGUCAGGUAAGGUUUUGCUAAGUUUUUUGGUGUACUGUCCUGAAGGAACAGUAUUUUUGGAAUCCGUCGAUGCAUCAGACAUUAUAAAUUCCUCCGAUGCUCUUUACGGAUUGCUUAGGAGAGUGGUAGAAGAUGUUGGAGUAAAAGAUGUGCUGCAAGUGAUUACGAGUAACGAAGAGCAAUAUAUGGUUGCAGGGAGGAGGCUGACUGAUACUUUCCCUACUCUAUAUUGGACUCCAUGUGCAGCUCGGUGCCUAGAUUUAAUACUUGAGGAUUUUGGUAGCAUUGAGUGGAUAAAUGCAGUAAUCAAACAAGCUAGAUCUCUUACAAAGUUUGUGUACAAUCAUAGUGUAGUGUUGAAUAUGGUUAGAAGGUCUACUGUUGGGAAUGACAUAGUAGAACCAGGAGUUACUCGCUAUGCUACAAACUUUACAACAUUAAAACGACUGGUUGAUCUGAAACACUGUUUGCAGGUCUUGGUUACUUCACAGGAGUGGAUGGACUCCCCAUACUCAAAGGAACCGGAGGGAUUGGAGAUGUUAGAUCUUAUUAGUAAUCAGUCAUUUUGGUCCUCAUGCGUCCUGAUUGUUCGUCUGACAAAUCCCCUCUUGCGAGUUUUGAGAAUGGUUGGUAGUGAGAAGAGGCCUGCGAUGGGAUAUAUUUAUGCUGGAAUGUAUCGAGCAAAAGAAACAAUUAAAAAAGAACUCGUUAAGAGGGAGGAGUACAUGGUAUAUUGGAACAUUAUAGAUCAAAGAUGGGAACAGCAGUGUCAUUUUCCUCUUCAUGCUGCAGGCUUCUACCUUAACCCCAAAAUAUUUUACAGUAUUGAAGGAGAUAUGCAUAAUGAUAUCCUCUCAGGGAUGUUUGAUUGCAUAGAGAGAUUGGUUCCUGAUACCAAAAUCCAAGAUAAAAUCAUCAAAGAGCUAAAUUUGUACAAGAGUGCUGCUGGAGAUUUUCGGAGGAAGAUGGCAAUUAGAGCUAGAGACACUCUGCUUCCUGGUGAGUGCCCAUUGUAUUAGAUUUGAUUGUUAUUUCUAGCUGCUGUAUCAUGACUUACCUCACAAUGGUUUAUUUAUUAGCACUUUUGAAGAAACUGCUCGAUAUGCUUUCGUGCAUGCUAAGUGAGAUGACAUUGCCUUUUCAAUUCAAGUAGCAUAUAAGCAUUUUUACGUAUUAGAUCACUGAGUGCUUUACUUCCAAAUUUAAUAAGUCUUCGAUUACAUUUAAUCCUGGUAAAGAUUGAAGCUCUUUGAUCUUUUGGGUGUAUUUGGUGUAACCAUGACACCAAGGCAAAACCUUCCAGGCACAUAUUGCAAGUGUUCUGUUUCUCAUAUUAUUUAAACCUCUUUCACACAUUUAGCUAAUUUUUUCUGUAAUAUACUUGUCUUAGCUGAAUGGUGGUCAACAUAUGGAGGAGGUUGCCCAAAUUUGGCACGCCUGGCAAUCCGUAUUCUCAGUCAGACUUGCUGUUCGAUUGGGUGUAGGCAAAAUCAGAUUCCUUUUGAGAAAGUACACAACAUAAGAAACUCCCUUGAGCGUCAACGUCUCAGUGACCUUGUCUUUGUUCAGUACAACUUACGACUAAGACAAAUGUAAGCAGAAAGUAGUUGACCCUGUAUGGAUUUAGGAAUGGUGGUCGAAAAUUUCAAGGGAGAAAAGUUGCUUUCUUUUUGCUAAUAAUAUACAUGUUUUUCCCGCAGGGUUGGUAAGAACACUGAACAGGAUUUUAUGGAUCCCAUAUCAUUUGACAGCAUUAGCAUUAUUGAAGACUGGGUUUCAGGGAAGGACAUGUGCUUAGAGGACCAGGGAAGUUCAGAUUGGAUGACACUGGAUUCACCCUCUGCCAGCACAAUGCUUUUGGGGCCCUCAAAUGAUGAUGCUGAGGAAUUGGGCUCCGGUAAUUUUAUACUUGGAUGUGGAGAGUUGCUUAAUACUGAAUAAACUUUGUUCUUAAUUACACAGUACACUAAUUAUCUUGGUCUAUAUGCAGGGUUUUACGAUUAUGAGAUUUUUGGUAGGGGAAAAGACUCUGAAGAGGAAAAUGUUGAAGACAAUGUAGAAAAUCAUUAGAACCUUGUGCAUGAGGCAGUUCUGUAUCUCAAGAACCCACGGUUACGAAUUGUCACCUUGUUCUCUGCAAUCAAGCAGAGGAAGAUGUAGAGAAGUAGAUGUGCAUGUGGUGUCUGGCAAAUUUUUGAAGCGUCCAAGACAGUUUUCAAUUUAGAGAAUAGUGCAUUGUAGCUGAUAAUUAGAAGCAUAUAGUUGUAGCAGUUAAAAUGUUGUUUAUUCUAAUACGUCUCAUCUGUUUGUAGAUUUACACAUUCGAACCGUUAGAAAAAUGAAAUCUAGAUUGUUGUUUAUUCCCAUCUCGUCCUCAUCCAGCGACACCUUUUAUCACAGAUGAAUUGAGUAUGAAGCUGGUUUUGUUUCAUGAUAUCCUUUUGGAUGAGGGAAAAUAAUUCGGAAUUUAGUUAAAAGUCGGGAAUUUAAGAGGGGAAAUUGACAAUUCCCUUAUUUGGCAACUUAAGCGCGGAAUUUAUUAAUGACGAGCAGAAAAAAUUGUGGAAAUUGAGGCAUCAAAUUUCCGAGUUUAAUUUCCACCAAAAUAUGUGUCAUUUCACAAUUUUCAUAGUGCCAUUCACAAAAUUCUAUCAUUUACAAAAUUCGACAUACAUAAAUCCAAACACUGAAAUCUUCAAUUGCCGGAUAUUGAAAUGAUGGAAAUUUAAAUUCCGUCAUUUUAGAAUUCUAUUUAAAUUCCGUCAUUUUAGAAUUCUAUUUAAAUUCCAUCAUUUUAGAAUUCUAUGUAAUUUUCAAUUCCUUCAUCCAAACGGAAGAUAAAGAGUGUUUAUAGCUCCCCUUGCAGAGUAAACACUGCAACAAUUUAAUUGCUAAGGUUUGAGAAUUUAAUCGCUAAGGUUCGAGAAUCUAAUUGUUUGGGUACGAAAAUCUAAUUGGUUACGUUCGAUAAGCUAAUUGCUAGCUGAAGAAGAGGUGCCUUUUGGACUUGAAUCUUCCUUUUCAAGACUUUGAUUGCAAGGUUGUUAAGUACGAUAAAAAGUCACUGUUGGUUGUUGGCUCUUUGCAACUAACCCUUCAUUAGUUACAUUAAAUAAACUAAUCUAGCAUAGCUAUCAGCAUCACUGGUCUUUCUCUGCACUACUUUAACUAGACAUAAAUAUUUCCACAGAGAACCUUUGGGAAUUUUGAUUCAAUGAAACUGUACAUGCGAGCACCCAAAAAAGUUUAAAACAUGAUGUUCUUGAACACCACAUGUGGAUUCAAACAGAGACACAAAUUUUGUCUUUCACAUGGGAAAAACAGAAGCAAUAAUGUAAAUACUCCUAUAAGAUGAAAGAGGAAGCCUCACUAUAACUGCAGAUUAAAGAACAGAAACAUCAUGUACACCAGAUCAUUUACAACCCAAAAUGGGGUGUCAUAAUAAUCAAAUUUACAUGGAAACAAAAAAAAAAAAAUACUAGCAUAGCUAUAAUUAUACAAAAAAAGAGAAACAAAACCCAAAAGAAAAAAGAAGGACAGAGAGAGAGAGAGAGACAGGAAAUUGAUACUAUCUUGGGCAGCUACCACCAUUUCUACCAGAUACUGAGAGAGGUGAGCUUGAAGAAGCAGCUUCAAAAUCAACAUCUGCAUCAUCACAUGACCAUGCACUUGCCUUCUCAAAAUAUGAAGAUGUUGGAUACGAAUGCACAUAAUCCUCAAACUCACCACCACGCUCACUGUCUUUUCUCCCAUCAUAUGCCCCAGGAGACAAAACCACCUCAGGCAGUGCCACCUCACCCUCCAAGUACCUCACCACCUGUCUCAUUGUAGGUCUUGCCUUGGGGGUAUUAUUGGAACACAUUAUGCCGAGUUUAAGCACCACAACAGCCUCAAGCUCAUCAAACUCACCCUCCAAUCUUGGGUCCACAACAUCAAGAAUUGUACCAUCUCUCCAUUUGUCCCAAACCCAGUCCACCAAAAUGAGCUCCUCAGGCAUGGCUUUGGCCUCAAUGGGUCUCCUCCCACAAACCACCUCAAGCAAAAGAGCUCCCAGAGCAAACACAUCUGAGCUGGGAGUAGGUUUUCCAGUCCGAGUCAACUCAGGAGCGAGGUAACCCAGUGUGCCAACCACCCUGGUUGUUGUUGGGUUUGAGCCAUGCUCAUACAGCUUAGCAAGACCAAAGUCACCAAGCCUUCCAUUUAGCUCAGAAUCCAACAACACAUUUCCUGCUUUAAUGUCUCUAUGAAUCACAGUUUGCUCCCAACCUUCAUGUAAAUACAAUAGCCCUGAAGCUACACCUUUGACAAUCCUGAACCUCUGCUCCCAGCUCAAAAUUGCUUUGGGGUUUUCAAACAGAUACUUGUCCAAGCUCCCAUUAGGCAUAAAAUCAUAUACAAGCAACAAAUCACCACGCCUACGACACCAACCCAAUAAUUGAACUAAAUUUCUAUGGCGAAGACGACCAAUGCUAGCAAUUUCAGACACAAAUUCUUGAAGACCCUGUUUUGAUUCAUUGGAUAUUCUCUUAACAGCAACUUGGGUAUUUGAGUUUGGCAAAGUUCCCUUAUAAACUUUACCAAACCCACCAAACCCAAUUACCUCUUUGUCUCUGAAGCCUCUUGUGGCAUGCUUCAGCUCCUGGUAUGUGAAUCUGUGAGGACCAAUGUCAAGCUCCCAAGCUUCAAUCACCUCAGCGUUCUUGAUUCUGUGAAUGAUGUAGAAAGCCAACCCAAUGCCUAAGAUCAAGACCAGAAGAGCAGAAACAGAAACACCCACAAUUACACCUGUGUGUGUUUUUUUGGGCCCAGGGAGUUUAGGCAGAGCAUCCAAAGAGAGAGAUUUGGCAUCUCCAUUCAUUUUGAAGCUCCAACCAGAGACAUAGUGCGAGCUGGCUAGCAACCCAGUUGAGGCAGAGAAGCCAACGUACAUAAAAUCUUGAAAAAUUGGAGAGAGAUCCACAUCGAAGGUUAAAAUUGGAGAUGUGGGUUUGAUAGAAUUAGGGGAAAGCUUAACAGUUACUUGGUUUUUCACUGAAUCGUAAUCCACCCAGGCCUGGAUUACGUGACCACUUUUGAGGUUGAGGCUCUGUUUUGUUGAAUUUUGACUGGUGAAAUACCCAGCUGGAGUUGAUUUGUUGGAGGCCAAGCUGUUUAUAUCGAUGCCAACAUGGUUGUCAUUGAUGUCGCCAAAUUCAAAGUCCUGCACAGUGUCAAAUUCAACAGCAAAGAUGUGGUUUGAGAAGUUGCCGACAACUGUGGCGUUGAGAAUACCAAGGUACUGGCUUGGAAGAGAUCCAGGAAGCUCCUUUGAAGGUGAGAUUAUGAAGGCGAGGCCAUGGCCGCCGAGCUUGGGGUACUCUGGGACUAUAGUGAAAGCAAAAGCGGUGGAAAAGGAGAAAGCUUUUCCAUCAGUUGAGUUCUUGAAUUUGAUUGGAGAUGAAUAGAAAGCGUGACCCAAGACUCUUAGAGUGUCGUUUGUGAGCUUUAGCAUGCCAUUGGGCUCGAUCUCUGCGACCCCAUUUAAGCUCAUGUUGCUGCCAACGCCAUUGAACCCAUUGAAGUGGAGCUCUUCAUCAAGCUGAGACUUUACUGGGUUUGUGAGGAAAAGGAGAAAAACCAAGAAAAGUAUGAGUCUUUGAUAUGCCAUAAGUUGACAGAGGGGAGAGAAACGGAGUUUGUGAACCAGAUGGAAAUGGAGUUCCAGUGCUAUUAUGCUGGAUUAGCUAGGUUAAGGUGUCGGUGUAUAUGAAAUUGUUUUUCAUAUUUUCUAGUUGUUUAGUGCGUUGCUUUGGCUGGUUGUGGAGGAAGGGAAAGAGAAAGAAGCAGAUGAUACGGGGAUGUCGGGGUUGUAUUUCAUAUGAGAUAACUGAGUAGGAUUGAAGCUAUUUUACCACUAGGCCAUUUGAACCUCAACCACCAACUUUGAUUCUUUGAAACCACAUAUGGUUGUUACUUGUUAGGUCGGUUCACUUUCCACAACUUCCAUUUUCUUUUCCUUUUCCCUUUCCAACUCCACCCACAAAAUCGACUUUUAAGGUAAUUUCCACAAACAUCUAAUCAUGCACAAAAUACAUCCCAAUACAUGUAAAUAUACAAUCCUGAUUUUUUGGAUUACAGGGUUUAAGAGAUUUGUGGUCACUCACUGUUGAGUAUAAAUUCAACGGUUCACUCACUCUUGUACUCCUUUUAAGAAAUUUUUUUGAACCAUUGAAUUAAUAUCCAACGAUGGGUGACUACAAUUUCUUAGACUCCUGUAAUCCAAAAAAUCAAAACGGUGUAAAUUGUAAUCAUGCACACAAUGCAUAUAUAAUAUCAGGUAAAUUCCAUUUGUUUCUUUUGGAUUUAUAAGAAUUUGAAUAUAGAAUGUCUUUUAUUUACCGUUGACGUUGAGUUAUCCAAAUAAUUUUUCCUAAAGUCCAAACCCACCUAGCAUUAUCCGUUUAAAAAUGCAUCAUUACUCACAAGCAUUGGUGGUGAAAACACAAAGUUAACUUUGUCAUGGUGACUAAGUUGAAGAAUUAAGAUGGACAUAAAGUCCACCAGUAUAUCCAUUGAAACCUAGGGUGCAUGGGGACAUGAUGUAUAUAUAUUCUCUUAUCCAGAUGUCCGUAUAUUAUUAAAAAAAAUUAAAAAAAAUAAUAGAAAAUAUAUGGCGUUUGCACGAUGCACGAUAAUAAUAGUAUGGAUGGUGAAUUUUUUAACUCAAUAAUUCACACAAGAGUGUUCCUACAUGAAAUGUGAGAAGACGUUUCAUAAUUACUGAUGGGUAUAUUUUAUAUUAUAUAUUUAACCUCAUUCUUAGUAAAUUUUGGAAGAAUUUUGAUACUUUGUAUUAUAUUUUUAAUAUAGGACUUUCGACUUUCUCUGGAGCAAAACAUAAUCAAAUGGACAAAUUUUGGAGUGAUUCCAGUUGGAGGACGUACAUGAGUCACUUAGCUUGAUCGUAUCAAAAUUUUAGAUUUUUCUACCAAGCAGUUAUUUUCUGGCAAUAAAAUAAAGGAGUAGUGAGCGGUGUUGGAAUAGUGACUUUUUGGGCUUUUAUUGCGUUUUUGGAGUUUAAGAUGACCUCGGAUGGGUUCGUGGCCUUCUAGAGAAGUGUUCAAAAUAUUUUUAUCUUUAAAACAAGCUAUCUUGGGCAGAUUCUCCUAAUCCAAUAUGGAAGCUAGGUUUUAAGGGGUAUUUAAGCUCUUUCUCACAGGAAUUUUGAGGGACUUCUUUUUGGCUCUUGAACGUGGGGAGCAAUUGCUUGGGUUUUUGCAACUUUAAGGUGUUUUCAUUCUUUUCUUCUCAAUGAUAUUUUCUUAGAUUUCAAUUAUGAAUAUGCGUAACUAAUUUUCUUUUGCUAGGGUGAAGUCUUGAACCUUAGCAUGAAUAUGUAAUUUUUAUUUAAUUGUUUAUGAUUGAGUGCAUGCAUACUUUGAAUUGUUAAUCACUGUUUUAAACUAUUUAAUUGUCUUAAUGCCUGAUCACCAUUAAGAUCUUUAGAAAAGUAAUCAGAUGCAAUUUUGGUCGGAAGGUUCCUUGAAAUUGACAUUGUUUUCUUGUGAUUAAUAAUUGUAAUUUCACUUAAGAUGAACAUCACGUCUUAAGGGUUGCAUGGUUUUUCAAAGGGUUUUCACAAAACUUAAUGAGUCUUUCAUGUUCAGAUUUGAUCCGAACGUCCGGACGGGUUGUAUGUUGGAUAUACGUUCUAUGUUGGAGGUUCCAAGUAGAAUAUAAAUUAGGAAAACCUAACCUUCAAAGUGGCAUAUGCAAAUCAUAAGUAAUUGGUAAAAAUUCAUAAGAUUGCUAGGUGAUGGUGAAACCCUAGUGCUUUUAUAAAUUGGUAUUUAAAACUCUUUUAGUCAAUCGUAUUUGUCUUUGUUUAAAAUCUAUUUUUAGUAUCAAUCAAUUUCAUAAUCAUCUUUCUCAACUUUUAAUUUUAGGUAGUAAAUUGAAAAUUAUUUUUACAUAAAUUGCUAAAUAGUCCUUGAGGAGAACGACCUUGCAUGAGCAUCUAUACUACAAUAGCCUUGUAUUCUUGCAAGUAUUUUAUAUGAUUUUAACCCUAUUUGCAUAGGUAUUAAAAAUCCUAUCAAUUACCAAAAACCCUUUGACAAUCUGAACCAACACAUAUAAGCCAUUAUCUUAAGUGCCAGUUUGGCAUUGCUUAUUUGGGGUGAUAAGUGAUUUUUUUAAAAUUUUGGGAAGCCCAGUCCAUUUGGUAAACUAUGAAAAAAAUAACUUAUUGUUAAAAAUUGCUGUGAGAGAAAGCUAUAAGAGAAAGCAGCUAAUGAGGUGCUUUCAUUUUCUGAUUAUGUAGGAAUCAGUUUUGAAGAGGUGUUGUGUUUAAUGAUUAUGCGGCAAUCAUUUUCUGAUUAUAUGAGAAAUUAGUACCAAUAACACUUUUAACAAAAAGUUUACCAAAUGCCAAACUGCUUUCUCUCACAGCUGAUUUCUCUUACAGCAAAUUUGACAGCGAUUAUUUUUACAGCACAGCAAUGCCAAACUGGCCCAGUAUUUUUUCUAAAUGAUUAUGGAUGGUGGAAUAAUAAUGGCUUGGCAUACAAUGCAUAUAAGCUGAACUCAAUUUGUCCAGGUCGAACUGCAUUAUGACACUUUAAAUAUUACAUUACAACAAAAGACAACUAUAUUCAUACGACACCACAAAACGCUGUUUGUUUGAUACGUCCAUUUUCUGGUACAGCAUCAGCAGCAGAAACUUUCCCUCUGUUUUUGGAUUAAAUAAAACACACACGUUUGUUUCACCUGUUUAUACAUAUAGUUUAUGAUGGAGCACUAUCGCGCAUGCUGCAAAGCUCUUGGUUUUUUCUUCAAUUUUUCGUUUUAUUUAUGUAGUUUUAAAUAAUAUAUAAAGUUUUUUGCUUUUAUUUCGGAUGAAAAAUAAGUUAAUGGAAAAACAAAGACAAAGAAUAAAGAAUAUUGAGAUGUGCAAGUGUCAAUGCCCACCAAACAAGGUCGGAAAGUCCCAUGCCAUGAGAGCAAAUGGUAGUUGCCCAGGUCCUACAUUCAUGAAAUUUUCUUGACCAUUUUGGAAGGCUAAACAUUGUGGUGGUGUAUGCUUUAUCUACUUUCGGUGUGCCAAAUACGUGUAGAUGCAUUCGUGGUUUGGUUGGAGACAAUGAGGAGCUUAUUGACAUGCAAUUGGCUUUUUGUUUGAAUCUUUUGCUACCAUCCAUUUUCAAACCCACAUGUUCUUUGUGUUUCAUACUAAAAAUGAUUGUGGUUGGUUUUAAUCAAGUCCCAAAAGUUGUAUUAAAUGUCAUUGAUUCAAUAAUAUAAUUGACUCUUUAUUCAUAAUUGUGUAAGUAAAAAUUAAUAUAUGUGAGUCGUUGAUGCAUGUGAAUACAUAUAUUGUAUGCGAGCGUUUAUUCUCGCACCAAAUUCAUGCCCCAUGCAUGGUUAUUGCAUAGAUAAGGUCAAAAUUAAUUAGCACAAGUUGUGAGGAAAAAGACUAAAUUAAGUUUGAUCCUAAUGAUAUAGAAUUGAAGACAAAGGGUAUCUUUCAUAUUGUAUUAUUGGUUUUGCAUUGCCAAUUAUUUGCUAGUGCGAGGGUCGUAAUUGGACUACUGAAUUGAAUUCUAACAAAAGUUAUAAUACGACCAAGGAGCUCAAGUUUUGUAAACUUACGGCUGCUAUGAAUCUAUGACAUAGAUAAUAUACACUUGGGCAGCUGAGAUCAUUCAAAUGCUUGAACAAGCUAUUACAAAUCAUGUAGUGGAAGUAGACAUUGGACUGGCCUUUGAAUGGCUCUAACUUUGAUUGGUAAUCCAAUUAUAUGAGGGAUGAAAAUCACCUUGUGUCCGAUUGUGUAAUGUUAAGAGAACUCGUGGCUCAACCAGUCAAAAACAUGUACUCUUACAUCGGAAAUCAUAUUCCCUCAACCAAUGUGAAUAUACCCCUCUAUUGAAAUAAUCCGUACAGUUAGUAUUAUUAUUUUAAGUAUAAGUGAUGGGGAUCGGAGUUCGGACACAACACAAGUCACCAACCAUAUACACGAGCAUCAAAAUCUAGGGUUAGUGCAAACUCACAUAUAUCAUUCAUGCCACAAAUAAACUAUUUCAUUAAUCAUCAACAUCCACUCUCCUACAACUAUUACAUCCACUCCCCUUAUUUAUAGGCUUUACAAGACUUGGACACCAAAAUUAUUACUUGGUCCAAAAGUAAACUAAUUAAUUAUAAUAUCACACAUAAAUGAUAAAAGAUAUCCUAAAACUAUCUAAAUAAGAAAAUAACAAUACAUUAUGAAAUAACUAAUUAAAUAGUAAAUAUCUAUCUUGAUCCACCCCUAUACUCCUGCACCAAUAAGUAAUAGUCUAAACUCACAUACACAACUAAGAUAUAAUAUAAGUUAACCUAAAUUUUCUUAUCUAUAAAUUAAGUUCCAUUUCCAUUCAACUAGAUCCCGUUAACUCCUUACUGUUAUCUUAGAUUAUGAAGAUACCUCCAACAUUUAACAGUAUUCUGUUGUUUAUUUUGUUAGUGGGAGAUUUUUGGUCUCCCACACCACUAAAGUUAGAACCUUUUAUUGCAAUAAAAUAAUUUGUUGCUGCGUGAGAUGUAAUUUACGAGGUCAAAGACCACUGCAAACUGCUCGUUGUUGUACCUUUGUGACAUAUGGCAUUGGCAUUGUUUGACAAAGACAAUUGCCGAAGUGUUGACUUAUUUAUCAUUCAUCAAUUUGAUUUCAAAGUCAAGUAGAACUAAUUUGAAUAUGAUGUGGGUUUCAGAUAAGAUAUUUACCACGUGAAAUACGCAACUAAUUAAAAACACACAAAACAUAUCUCAAUCUAGAAAGUCCGGUUACAAGAUCAAGAUUUUAUUUUUUAUAUUUGUAUCCUAUAUAUGUAUAGCUUUGCAGGUUAUAAAUCUCAUGGCCUGAUAUUUAUGAUUUUCCCAGGUUGAAUAUAAAGAUGCAGAAAACUUCCAUGAGGGACAAGAACAAAAGAUAGAACAGAACAUGAGGAACUGAACUAACUGAAAGAACUGAUGGGGAAGAACAAAAGCACCUACUGAUGACAUUGAAUAGUGUACAUUAUAACACAAAAUCACAUGACACCAAUCCAACAAAAGGAAGACAGCAACAUAGUUAUUGUUUCACAACAUCCUUAAAAAAAAAAAAAGGUGCUUCCCUCCUUCCUCCCCCAAUACCCUAAAUUAAGAAGCAAGAACUUAAAAUGUGUACAGGCAGCUGCCAUCGUCACUCCUAGCAGUUGGGUCAAAGUUUUCUGCAGUUCGAUCAGUACAACCUUCAGGAACUGGAACGUUAACUUGUUGGGCUGCUUUGCCUGCGCCAACACAACCAAAUAAGCUUCAGUAAAUUUUCUGUUUUUGUUUUUUGUGAAGCCUAAAUACAAAUUCAUUUUAUGACUUUUCUAAAUUAAGCUGGAUGCAAACCUCCCCACAGGCCUCUUAUAAGAUCAAGGGAUCUAACCGUAGAAAGUUCCACUAUCAAUAGCAUCUGAGUUGGCAUCACCAAGAGCAGCCUCGCUCAAGUACUUAUCAGCCAAUUGGACUCUCUUCACAUUCUCUUGCUCUUGGACAAGCAUGUUUCCAUACUCAAGCAGCUUCUCGAUUGUCAUCUUAGGCUGCUCGAAAGUCGGGGGCCCUUCCUUUGAGUUCACAAGCCUCUUCCCAACGCCGUCAACCCCAACCCCUGUAAUCCACUUCCUCACUUCAUCGUCAUAGACUCGGGCCCUCAAUGCACCAAAGAAAUCUGCAAAACCAUGACACAUAACCAAAUAUUAUCAUUGUAUGCAAUUUCUUAUAACAUAACAUGUCAGACUGUCUGAUAAGAAAAGAGAAGGGGACUAAAACUUACCAAUGGAUUGGCCAGGGAAGGUGUCAACAAGCUUGACAAUGUCUUCCUUAGCAACAUUGUCACUCCUGAAGAUCCCAAUGCAGACACCAAUACGAUCUUCGCGGGUAGGCGCCCAGUAGAACUUCUCCAUACGCCCGUCACGGAUGAGAGGAGCAUACAAUGUUGAGAAAUCGUUACCGGUGACAAUGAUGGGGACACGGGGGUUCUCCUCCUUGUUGUACAUACCGGGGAGCUGGACAUUUGUUGGGUUGUCAGCAAUGUUCAUGAGGGUGGCAUUCACCAUUUGGUUGUUCACAGUGUACUGUGUGGUUCCACCAAGCCGACCAGCUCCUGCAUCAAGAUCGUUGAUGAAGAGUGCGCACAUUUUACCCUUCCUGAUUAUGUCAGCUGCUUCACGGUACCUUUGCCUGAUCAGCUUCGCGGGUUCUCCUGCGUUUCCACUUUCCAAUUCUCCGGCACUCAUCAUGAUGGGGCUGAAAAAAUGAUCAUCGUUAAAGGCUAGUUUCAGUAAGAAGCAGAACAUAGCCUGACUAAGUGACCAUAAAAUAGUAACAUAGAAUCUUAAUUAAUUAAUUUAUUUUUGUUACAAAGGAGCUUAAGGCCUAGGAAAAAGAAAAGCGAGAGUCGAACUUUGGCCUCGAGUGUGAGGGUAAAUACUAGCUACUUGCAAGUGACUCAUAGAAAAAUCAUAGAUUUCAGUCUCACCCAAAAAUAAAAGUUAAGGAAAUUCCUCUAGUGAAACCGAGACAUGCAAUAAGAACAGAACAGAACAGAACAGAACAUGUAUGGAAAGCAUGCAAUUGGACUGACCUGAUUCCCAUCUUGGCAAAGACAAGCUCGCACUGGAAAGAUUUACCCUGACCUUUGCCUCCCCAGAUACCAAGGAUGAGAGGAACCUGCAACAAAAUCAAGAGAUGAUUUUUAAGUUGAUUAGCUGCAAUAUAAUUAUGGAAGAAACUCAAAAUUAAUAAUAUAGUGAAUUAGAGCAGUAUGAGCAUAAUACUUUGAUGUUAGGCAGGGUCAUGAAGUUCUUGGUGAUGUGGACAACAAGCUUGUCCAUAAAAGCAGGAGCAAUGUAAAACCCAUCCAUGUUGUUGUCCAAGUUGUACCUAAAUUAAGCACAGGCUCUCAUUAACAAAGUACUAUUAACAAUUAAUCUUUCAUAAUUAAAGAACUAAUUGUGAUCAUAUUUGAACUUACUGGCGAAGCCCGGUACUGAUGUAUUCAUAAGAACUCAUGACGGCGAAGUGAGUUCCAGCAUCUUGGGGUGCUUGGAAGAGAGAGUCGACCAUGCCCUUUCCUCUUGUGAUGUCUUGUUGGUCAUCUGAGGUGUCAUAGGCAAGGCCUCUCCAUUUGUCCUUGUCGGUCUGCUUAUCUUCGUCCACCUCUGCUACAAUCCUGAAGCUCCCAGAUGAAACCUUGGAGUUGGUGAAUCUUGAGUUCACUUUCUUCAAGCUGCUGCCCAAGAAGGUUGAGCUUGGAACUGAAGCGCUGCUGCUAGAGCCAUUUAGGCUCAGCUGCAUGCAUUAAAAGUGCAACAAUUGUUAAUUAUGAAUUUAUGAUCACCUUCCAAACAAACAAACCCAUGUUUAAUUCUUUCCCUUAGUUAAUUAUUAGAAUUUGAACCAUUAUGCAUCAUAUUAAAUCUUAUCUAAAUGUGUCGUCUAAAUUUAGAGUAUGACAACAUGUAGGCAAUAUGAUCGUAACAUAAGUCUUAAGUCUAAGAAGAGAACAUUAUUCUAUGAAUCUAAUUAAAACAUAUGUACCAUGCAGACACAUGUUUGUAUUUUUUUAGCUUCCUUUUAACUGGCACUAAGUUUGCAUACACACUGAUAAGUGAAGGCAUAAACGAAGUGGGAACGACAUAGUACCGGUGCCCUGUUGACAGCUCCAAUGGUUGAGACAGCAGUAGCCAUUGAUCUCCGGGGUGGGGGGAUUGGACGGUUGUGAUCUAAUGUGGGGUGAAAGAGAGGAGAGGCACUGUUACUGCCCUGUUUGCCUGCAAGCAAAAUAUGGAGAGUGGUGUUUUGAGCGGAAAAGAAAUGAGAACUGGUUUGGACUUAUAGUACUUGCUUUGAGUGUACAGAAAUUGGUAUCCUGAGGAUUGGGUUCUUUGAAAGGUUUUAGACCAUAGAAUCAAGAUUGCCUUGCUGCCACGUGGCAAACAGAGAGUGCAUGGAACUCCGUCCCUUGUUGGUCCUUGAGGUCAGUGUUCAAGCUCUCUUCUUCUCCACAAAAAAAUUAGGGAAAGUAGUAACCACAGAAUUUGAGAAUAGAAGACGACCCAUGUCUUUUAUUGUGUUAUUUUUUGUUUUUUUUCCAAGGAAGAUGCAUGGGAGAUGGAGAUUGACAGAAUUUGAGAUGAGGUGAAUAAAAUGUUUGUGGCUAGCAACAAUUUUCAUGAUUAUUUUUUUAAAAAUUCUUUUGGUUUUGUACAAAAAUUUGAGCAAAAUGUUUGCGCUAUGGUAGAGAGGUCCCACAUGCAUUCGAUCAUAUCAGAUCAGAAUAGUGCUAGGGGACGAACUUCAAUCAAUUUUCAACUAGAAUUCUAUAGUGAAGGCCUUAUAUAUGGCCCUUAGGUGAGACCUUAUAUCUUAACUGUUGGAUCAAAUUAGCUAACUUAAUCCAACGGUUAAGAAGUAGGGCCUCACUUAAAGGCCAUAUAUAAGGCCCUCACUAUAGAAUGACUCAAAUUUUCAAUGUAAGGGAAAAUAUGCAAAAUCAGUCGAGUCCAAGACCCAAAUUCGGAGCAUACUGGGCUACCCUUUCACAUUUCAAAACACUUUAGCCUUGGCCCAAGAUAUCUACAUACUUACAAUCUACCAAGUGUUUGACCAUGAUUCAUUCUAUAGUGAGGGCCUCAUCUAAGGGCCUUAUAAGGCCCUCACACCCUCACUAUAGAAUUAUACGUUUAGUCAAACCUAAAUCCCAUGAAAGUAUAUGGAAUUAUUGAUUAAAUUUGACUAUAUGGGAUUAUUGAUUAAAUUUGACUUCUGCCCAGAAUAACUAAUCAACAUGACACAACACGACACGAGUCACACAACACAACUCGAUUGCAUCGAUCGAACUCUUGUUUAGUUUCAUUCUAAUUUUAGUUAGUCCUACACGUCUCAUUUGGUGAAUCAGCUUGGAUAAUACUGGAUUGGACUUUAAGUAUUGGACAUGAUUGACUAGUUAGGACUUCGGUUUUGUGUCUUGUCCUAUUGAGAUUCAUGUCUCAGCUAAGGACAGUUUGGCCUAAUUACUUAGGACACUAAUCAAGUAGAUGAGUCUAGUCCACAAUCUUUAUUAAUACACCGAACUAAAUGAAGUCACUUUUUUUGUUUGUGCCAAUGUUAGGAAGGAGAAUGCAAAUUUUCUGACACACACUAUCAAAGUGUCAUUGGGAUUUGAAUCUGAGAUCACUGGUGUGUAAGUCAAGACCAAUUUUCAUUAAGUUAGACAAGUUGACAACUAGUUGAAGUAACUUAGAAUAAUCUUAUAUUGAUUUCAACAACAAAAAAACCAAGAACAAGAAUAGAAUUCAAUGCAUGACAUCUUUGGGUGGCAAGCCAUACAACAUCAAACAUGAUGAGGGAAAAUGAUAGACGUGCAGAAUUUGUUCUCCGGUUUGUGAAGUUAUUCACUACUAUUCUCUCUUUUUGUCCAUACGACAGACAAUACAAUUUGGGAAAGUCUCAAUGGCAUUGGUAAUAUACCACAAUGGUCGACACCCAAAGAAAAGUAUAAACAAUGGCAAUUUCACCACUGUCAUGUCUUAUCUUGUCCUGCUGCCGAAUGUGGAGGACAAGAUAAGAAAGAAAGCAUAGCAAAAUUAGCAUAUAUAUAUAUAUAUGUAUGUAUAUAUGCUUCCAUUGAUUCUUUUAACUUUGAGCUUUUCUUUCUUAUGAUUAAAUUCUCAAACUCUCAGAAAUCAGGAGUGUCCUGUUCAACAAGAAAUCAGUAACUUGGAGACAUGAUUGCAAUUUUAGAUGGUAAUUAAAAUGUGAUUAAUUACUUGAGUUGAUGACAGCUCAAGUUUUUUCCAAGAACAACUGGAAAAGGACUCACAUGCAUACAGCCUUAUCUAUAGCCAGAAAGCGUGGGGCAUUAGGCACAUAAGCACAAACAAAGACCAAUGUGAGAGCUAAGCUAAGAGCAAGCCUAGGCAUUGCAGGUGGUAAAAAUGCAUAAUUGAUCCAUGAUAGAGAAAGACACUUUCAUCUUUAAAGCAUCUUUUAAGUACCCAAAGUUGACCACACAAAAAAAUAAAAAUAAAAAUAAAAAUCUUUUAAGUACCCCAAAAAAAAAAAAAAAAAAAAAGAAGAAGAAGAAGAAGCAAAAACUGAAGAGGUAACAGCAAUAAAAUUGGAAAUAAUAAAAUAAAAUAAAAAGCAUCUGCAGAUGGAUAAAAAUGCAUAAUUAAACCAUGAUAGAGAAAGACACUUUCAUCGUUACACUCGAAAUCCGAAAAGACCCAACCCCACCAUCCCCCUAACAUUCCUUUCUCAUGCAUCUACUUCACUUUAAGCCAAAGUUCUCACAGUUGUGAAAUGACUUAAAGUAGAAGUUCAUUUUGCUGCAAAUGGCAUUUUGUCUCCCUAACUCUCUCUCUUCCAUUAGCCCAAGUAUGCUUUUUAAGUCCUAGAGCCCUGAAGCAUGCAUAUAGGCUUAAGGCAGCAGUAGAAGUUUAAGAAAUUACAACUUUUUCCAGAUAAGCUGCUGGUUAACCUCCUGUUUCUUGGGCUUUGGGGGCAUUGGCAGCUUGCUGUUUCAGAGCUUUUUGUGGUGUUCCAAAGACAAGAACAGUCCUCGUAACACCGACUCUUAAUUAAGUGGCCAACAGCCAACCUGAUAAUGUAGGAUUAAAAUAUGGACAUGGAGACUUAAGGCAUGCAUUAUGGAUUAAAAAUAAGCUUAAUAAUGGAGAAUUGGUAACAUACAGACAAACAGACGCCAUGAGUCACAGGCUAUUAUCCAAUCCUUAAGCUAUGAAGCUAGCAUUAAUAAGACAAUGUGGAAAUUUAGUCUCAUUUGUUAAGAAAAAGAAAGUAUGACAUAGCCGAAAUCCACCAACCCAUCAUUUGAUUUUGACUCAAGGUAUAUAAUAACUUGCUACAAGUUUCUCAUAAGCUCCUCAUGCACUGGCUCGUCGACUUGUCGAAUAGCUGCCCUAGUAAGUGGAGUUAGAGGAGAAUUCUAUGGCCUGCUAUACCAGAGUAGUUCAAUUCAAUAUUUGUAGCCCUUACAACUUGACUAAGCUAAUUUGUUGAUUUAAUUAAUGGUGUAUUUACUAAUAUGUAAUCGAAAUUAAAAUAAAGAGUUGGAUUUCGAUUACAGAUUACUCAUGUGUUUACUUCACAUCAAGGAAUGAAGAUGUAUGUAGGGCUCACAUAAAAUCAUGAAUCCUGAGUUUGGAGGAAUUGGACUCUUGGAACAAACCCAUCAGUAAUUCAUAUCUUUCUACCUAUUGUAUCCUCACCUGCCCCGAUUCCAAAUAGUUUAGUAAACAACUUCAAUGAAAUCCGGAUUCUAACUCCUCCUCAAUUCAAUUUGUCCUCACCCGAUUACGGAUUAGUAAACAUGCCAAGUUGAGUUGGGUCAUUGAUGCAGGAGCAUAGAGGGUGGAUCAAGACACAUACAACCAUUUAAUUUGUUAUUUCAUGAGAUAUUGUUAUUUUCUUAUUUAUGUAGUUUUAGGAUAUCUUUUAUUAUUUAUGUGUGAUUUUAUAAUUAAUUAGUUUACUUUUGGACCAAGUAGCCUUGGUGCCCAAGUCUUGUAAAGCCUAUAAAUAAGGCUAAUGUAAUAGUUGUAGGGAAGUUUUUUUUGUUGAUGAUUAAUGAAAUAGUUUAUUUGUGGCAUGGAUUUGCUACGAUAUAUGUGAGUUUGCACUAUCCCUAGAUUUCGGUGUUCGUAUAUGUGGUUGGUGACCUGUGUCCUGACCUCGAUCCCCAUCAAUUGGUAUUAGAGUUACAGCUCAAGAUUUGCGUUCUCGAGGAGGUUUUUGGAUGGAGAGUCAUGUUGACAACUACAACGACAUAGAGGAAAUUAGGAGGAUGCUAGGGCAACUUAUGGAACACAUCGCUUGCAUUGAAGCUCGAACUCGGAUAGGUAGGAGUUAUGACGAAGAGGGAAGCGUAAACUCUUAUCUGAACCGAGUAGCUUGCAUCGACACUCUAAUCAGUGGAAGUCUCGACGGGGAGUACGAGGGAGAUAGCCAUUUUCAUUGUUGCACUCCACUGUGUGAGUCAAGUGAAGAGGGGCACGAUGGUUCUCAUUGUGUCUUUGAAGGUACAACAGGGAUUUGUAAUUUUGGUGCAUAUUGUUCUUCGUCAAAGUUAUUAAAUUUAGAUUUACCUCCAAUAUUUGAUUGUUGUUUAGAAGACAAUUGUGAAAUUUGUUUUGGGGUUGAAAAAACUUCUGAAAAAGUAUUUGGUGAGAGUAAACAAGUUGAAUCUAAUGUAAUCUUGAAGGCACUCGACCUAAAGGAAGUUGGGUAUGCACUCUUGAAGCAACACAAUCAAGACACGUUUAAAGGAAAGAUUGUUGAGAACUCAGUUGAUCUUGUCAAUUUAAUGACAUUUAGAUUGACCACUCUUUGGGUUGAGAGAUUGAUUGCAGAACUGGAAUUGUUCUAAAAAGGUCAAAUAUUCUAAAUAUUUUUUUAUUUGGGAAGGAAUGUUUCAAUUGAGUCUAAAAGAUCCAUAAUUAAUAUGAAACAAUUAAAGAUUUUAUUCGGAUUUUCCUCAAUCAAAGGCUUGAAUUCGAUGAUGAAUUCUUUUCAACUAGGGGAAUCUGAUGCAUGAGCAAAAGGGGUAGAUCAAGAGAGAUAUUCACCAUUUAAUUAGUUAUUUUAUGAGAUAUUGUUAUUUUCUUAUUUAGGUAGUUUUAGGAUAUCUUUUAUUAUUUAUGUGUAAUUUUAUAAUUAAUUAGUUUACUUUUGGACCAAGUAGCAUCGGUGCCCAAGUCUUGUAAAGCCUAUAAAUAAGGGUAAUGUAAUAGCUUGAGGGAUUUUUGUUGAUGAUUAUUGAAAUAGUUUAUUUAUGGCAUGGAUUUGCUCUGAUAUAUGUGAGUUUGCACUAACCUUAGAUUUCGGUGUUCGUAUAUGUGGUUGGUGAUUCAUGUUCUGACCCCAAUCCACAUCAGUUAUGCUCAUACAGAAACCAGAUUAAUUGGUAUGUAUCCAGAAGCCAUAAUCAGCAAAUUUUAGAGCAUCUCCAAUCGACUAGUUAAAUGACAGGUAGCAUGACAAACAGUAACAAUUGAAGCUGCUUGGAGAUCCAACCGAGUUGUCAUUACUGACAUGGAAAAGAAGGCUAGAGCAAAGACGUCAAAAUUGAUUCCAACAUACUGAGGCGUUAUUUUCUUGUUUUGAAUUUUUUAUUUUCAUUGGCCCUACUUAGCUUUAAUUACUAUUACUGUUUGUUGUCUUUGAUUAGUGCCAUUGGAAUUCUUUUUUUUAAAAUUCUUUUGGUCCCACCAACUUUUAUUGUUUUUUAAACUCAUUGAAAAAUAAUAGUAAAAUAAUUGUAUUUUUUAACAUUUUGGAUCCUGUAUAGAGUUAUACAACAUGCCAAAUAACCAUAUCAGCUAUCAAAUUCAAAUUAAGUGUUUUAUAUUUGACAUCUCCAUUGAAUAUGCUCUAACCAGUCAUCUUGGUGUAUAUUAAUUCUCCUCGAGUCUAAAAAGUGCAAGACCCUCUCUCAUACUUUCUCUCAUUAGUGUUCCUUUGGGCAAGAUAUACUUUUUAUUUAUAUGAGAAAUAAAGUGAGAUAAGGCAUUCCAUAUAUAUGAGAAAGAAAAGUAUAACCAUUGUACUUGCCUCCACUAGAUAUUCAAGCAUAAUAUGUACUAAUUAAAGCAAUGAUCUCUCAUUUUUAGAGCCCAACUUAUGAGGAUAAUGAUUAGGUCUUCCAUCAAAUACUCUCAUUCUUCAAGAUUCUUUAAGAAUAAAGACCUUUAGAGGCAUUAAUCAAUAGGAAACGUUUACCCAAUUUGUGAUUGAUGAUGCACCCCAUAAAGGAGACCCAAAAGAACAAUACUUUUCAUAAAGUGAGAAUGUCCUCUGUACAAAACAAAAGGAAUACUUCUAACCCUUUUAAGUGAUGGCUAUAAAGACUAAAUCUGAACUUUGGAUAUGAACCAGUCAAAUUAUAGUACCACCUGAAGAAAAUCCUGGACACAGAGAUUAGUACUAAAAUCUUAGGACUAUGACAGGAUUCGGCUCUUCAUGUGGAGCAUGCAAGUUCCUGAGGAGAAAAUGCACAGGUGAAUGUGUGUUUGCUCCUUACUUCUGCUAUGACCAAGCUGCAGACCAUUUUGCAGCAGUGCACAAGGUGUUUGGUGCAAGCAAUGUGUCCAAGCUGCUGUUACACUUACCGGUACAAAAUCGAAGUGAUGCUGCUAUCACCAUGUCUUAUGAAGCACUAGCUCGAAUGCGCGACCCUGUGUAUGGAUGUUUCUCACAAAUCUUUGCACUCCAACAACAGGUUCCCAUGCUGCUAACCACUCCAGCUUCUCACUUAUACCUGUCAUAUCAAAUUUCAUGCACCAUUUAUUGUUUGAUCUUACCUUGCAGGUUGUCUACUUACAAGAGGAGAUUGAAACUCUCGGGAAUCAAAUGGUUAAUUUUGCAACUGGCCAUUCAAGUAACUCAUUCAGUGAGCUACAAGUAUUUUCACAACAUGAUGCUGUUGAGACACAAUAUCUUCAGAGUCAAUUACCAGAACCGCUACUACUUCCCGUUAUGGAAAAUGCAACUGCCAACCAGGCAUUUAACAGUCAGAUGGAUAUACAGAUGCUUCCUUUGCAUGAAUGGGAAGAAGUAAACCUAUUUGGUGAUCAGUCUGUGCCUGAUCCUUUAGAGAGAUUUCUUGAAGGUCCCCAAGAGAACUUGGGACAUAAUCCAUGGUUGAAUGAGACUGCCAACACCAGGAACUAUAAUAAAGGUUCUAGGUGGGAUUUAUAUUAGCUUUCAAAAGAAAAAGCAGGAGCUAGUCCAAUGUCAGAAAUCCAUGGGUCUAGGAGAGGACAAAUUUUGUACUGGCCUAGAAGCCCUGAUUUUGCAAUCUGGUCAAAUGGCCAAAGUUUGUGAGUCUUUUCCUUCUUUUGGUUUUCUUCAUCCGUUCAGCUUGUCAAAGUUGUUGGAUUUGGUAGUUUUUCUGUGAAUAUGCUCCUUCUAUAUCAGGUAAGCAUCCUUCUAUUUAUGGUAUAUAUCUUCCCUUUUUUUUUUGUGUGUGUGUUUUUUUGGUUCCGCAAUUGUUGGUAGAUCGUAUUUCAACAAAACCCUUUUCCUGGAUCAUAUUAGACAUGAACCCUUUAUUCUGCUUUAUACUACAACGCCAACCCUUGUGGUCAUUGCAGAGUGUUUGAUUAACGCUGCGUUUGAUAAUACUCAUUGCUCAUGAUGACACUGUUAAAAGUGCUUUUAAAUAACUAAAAGCACUUUUUAAAGCAAUAAUAGUAAUAAUAAUAAUAAUAAUAAUGUUUGAUUAGUACAGAUCAAAAGUGUUGUAAUAAUAAGCAUUAAGCACCGAGUACUAUUAGAUGUGGGUGUUGAAGCCACCAGCCGUGGCAGCCACACUGUGGUUAGGAGAACCGCCAAGCUCGUCUGAAACUGGAAGACCCAUAAAACAAGAAACUAAGAGCCUCUCUAAAGGAGAUGUUAAAUCCAACGAGUAGAAAUAUAAAUUGAGAUUCACUUCAACCGAAAUGUUAAAUCCUACAUACAUGGAAUAACAUCUCUCUUUUACUGUUAUUUUUGGCUAUUUGACCUUGUGAUGUCAUUUCACUAUUUUAUUAUUAAUUUUCAAUUAAUGUGCUUAAAUUGUUGUAAACUAUAAAAAUAUAUAUAAUAAAAUAAUAUUUAAUUUGACAUGUCAAGUAGAAUAUAAAAUUUUAUUAUAUAUCAAAUUACAACAUAAGUCAUCAAAUUCAAAUUUAAUAUAUGAUAUUUGCCACAUAAAUCAUACAUAUUUUUUUAUCUCUUAAAAAAAUAAUCAAAUAUACCAUACAUUCUAUGUUCUUUGUUUUCUGAAAUUUCCUUUCUCAGUAGGUUCUCUUUUCUUUUUUUCUCUUUGAAGGAUAGGCUUUGUCAAUUUACUACUUUGAUGUCGAUGAUUUUUUAUUUAUUUAUACAAACAAUUUUUUACUUUAAACUAAUCUAAACUAAAUAAAAGAUGAUUUGAACUUAAGCGCAUAAUGAAAAACACAUCCGCUCUAACGUACAUGGCUAAGCUGAUGUCGAUGAUUUGUAAGAUUGAGCCCUUCUUAUCCUCCUCCAUUUAUAUUGCUUAUCUUCCAUCCGUGGAACUUUUUUAAAGCAGUAAACAACAUUCCUAGGCCUGCUAUGGGACCUAAUCUAUAUGGACGAAGUCUACUUGAGACACGUAGAAAGACUGGGCUGUCUAAGACGAAAGAUCAGAAGGAAAAUACUAUUGUUCUUUUUCUUAUCCCACCUAAACCGGUUUAGCCCAAACGGGUCCAACUUCGCUUCACUUCUCGAAGCUCCUGGGACCCAGCCCUGUUUGUACACAAAAAGUCUUGGCCAACCAUAACACUUUUUUUUGGUAAGGCGGCAAGAAUUUCAAGAAUUUAUAUAAACUCAUAAACAAUAUAAAAGUUGGCAAGACCCAGAAGCUUAAGAUCAUUUCAAGUAGCUUGGCAGAAACGAAAUGGACACCAGUUUAGAGCAAUCUGUGUAACUAACAGACAAGAAUCAGACAAUGGUUUUAUCUGUUUUUUCCUGUAGACUCAACCAACUAUUCCAAAUGGUCACACAAACCUAACAAAAUAUAUGAGGAAAUGGAACAUCGUUGUCUUGGCGCAAAAAGGUUGGAAGAUAAUGGCAAAUAGUUCAAGGUUUUCAUUCAAUGAAGUAGUUUGAAACUCUUUCUCACAACAACUCAUCAAUCAUGUUCUUACACUUGGAUUUAUUUUUCAUCAUCUCAAGUUCCGUCAAUUAAAUUCAUGCCAAUCAGUGAAAGAACAAUAACAUCUUGGGUAGCAGAAGUCAAAAGACAUCCAACCAAACAUUUAAAGAUAAUAAAUAACCACUUCUUGGCCUGUCUGUAACUUUUCAAUAUCAGUUACCAACUUGGAAAACCAAACCACCCUUGACCAAACUUGAGGGGAAAAACAAUACCUCAAAAUUCUAUGUCACUCUUCCAUAAUAAAGCAAACUAUUUCUGUAAAUGAUAUCAUGCAUAUGACAAAUCUAAUAAAUUUCCCCCAGUUUGCCAACUUCUAUAUAAGCAUUACAAGGUUAAACAAAGGAUUAUAGAUUUUCUGGAAGAAGAAAAAAAUUAUAAUUAAAAUGGCACAUAUGUAAUUAAAAUGCAUAUCUAUCCAAGGUUUGAACAUAGGUUAGUAAUUAUUUGUAUGCUUGCAUAUGAGGGGAAAUUAAUUCCAAUUAACUACUUGAUGACCUAAAAGAAUGAAGUCUUGCUACAAUACCUUCAGCUAUUUCUUCACAUCUUCACAACUUGUUCAAAGUUAAAUAAGUGUGAAAGAAAGGAGAGUACCAACAAUAAAAGGUCUAAAUCUACACUCUUAACACAUAACCAUCUAAAAAAUUUGCAUAUCCAAGUCUCUUGUUACUCUUCAACAACUUGACAAUUACUGUAAACAAAAUAAAAGAAGGGAAAAACAUGAACUUAUGUUCAAGUAAUUUGAACACUAAGAAUCUGUGAUCUCUAACCUCCAACACAGCAAAAGUGUCUCAGUGCUCAACAUUGGUCAAAAAGCCACUAGUUAAAUACAAUUAAUUGACAGACCAUUGGUUCCCUCCUGCUUGAUUCUAGAAGACUCGGGAGAUAUUGCCACCAUCUUUUGCUUCCAAUAAGAGGCAAGACAAAGUGUGUUUAAUUAGGGAAUAAUCAAUGAUGUAAGUUUGGGGCUACCACAGUAAGAAUUUGAUUCCAAAGACAAGUAAUGGAAGAUGAGAGAAGAUGGGAGAGGGUUCCUAAACAGUUGUCUGUGACCAAAUGGCAAUUCUCUACACUUGGGGUCAAAUCUGUUGACCCAUCAAAUCAUAAUGCCAUAGAAACCCUAAAGCCCCGGCAAGCAUAAAGCAUAUCCAUAACAACUUGCUCUCUUACGGCAACUAUCCAAAUCAUCCAUAAUGAUCAUGUCAGACCAUGCACUUAACCUGCAAUUCAACUUGCAUCUAACUAUGCAUGAGACGAGACCUAUUUCCGGCAAGAUGCAGAUGAAUCAACCCCACCAGGUGACAACUCAAAUGAAGAUAAAAUAUACAUAAUAAUUUCUAAAGUUGGAGAUACAAAUAUAUGACAAUAUGCUUUCUAGGCAUCAUUGUUGUUCUUGUUAUAUUAUUGAAUGCAAAGAUAAAAUAUUUGGAAGGCUUACCAAAAAGGAAGAAUUUCACAAACAGUUUGCCAUGAAAUUUCAAUAGCUCCAAUCCAAACCCCCAUUUCUGCACUAUUUGCUUCUUUGCCUACACCAUCAUUAAUGUAUUCUUCCACAAGAAGAUUAAACGAAAGGAACAAAGGUAACAUCCAUGAUGAUCCACCAGUUUUGAAACAUAGCUACUCAAGAAAACCUAACAACAAGCUAAAAACAUUGAGAUUCAGUGAUUCACAAGCAAAAGAUAAUAAACAAAAUAGUCCUACCUUGCUUGUUAUGCCUACAAAAAGCUGCCAAAACAUUUUGCACAAAAACACCAAAAAAAAAAAAAAGAAAAAAAAAAGAGAGUCAGUGAUGAAACCAAGCACCCUAAACCCUUUCUCUCAAUACGAUGGAGGAGGGGGUCUGGGAGGAGGAGGACCCCAAAACACAUCAGGAGGCAUCUGACCAUUUGGAAGCAAAUUUGGAGGCAAAUUAUAAAUGGCCAUUGAACUAGUAUGUUCCACCAAACCUUGAGAACCUGAAUUCCCUCCAGUCCCUGCCGAAUUCACACCAGAUUGUUGCUGCUGCUGCUGUUGUUGCUGCACCUGCAUCCCUCCUUCUCCAGCUUGCUCAUCCUCAAGCGGCAAUCUCUCGUAAGUUGCGUUUGUAAAUGUCGCCGCAACGACCAUCACAGGGCCUGAAGCCACCAAUGCCCCCAUCACAGUCCCGCCCACCACCUGCCCCUGUCCACCGGCCAAGUACACUGUCAGCCCCGUCGCCCCGGGCGGGGAGGGAGAGGGCAGGAAGGCACCCGACAACGACAAAAUCUCGAACCUCCCGUGCAGUGUGAUCACUCCACUUGGUGCUGCAGGAUGUCGUAGAGUUACAUUGGCGACAAUGCCGCUUCCGCUCAGAACCGAAACCCCUCUAUGCCGCCUUUGGGCAAAGGUGGCAAUGCUAUCCACAAUGUCGCUGCCGCUGCUGAUUUCCAGGACGUGGCUCCGGAGCGCGUUGGGGCUCUCUUUGGUGAUGAUUAUUGGCGGUUUGGGCUUGUUUUUCGACCCGGGAGGUCUGCCACGCGGUCUCCGGUUGCUGCUUCCCGGCUCGAGGCUGUCGUGGCUACCGCUGCCAGUGUUGGGGUCCUGAUUAUCAGCUUCGAGAUCGUUGUUGUCCCGACCGUCUUCGUGGUGUUCGUCGUUUUGCUUGUUAGGGGUGGUUGCUGGGUUGCUGGUGCUGCUGUUAGUGGGAGUGUUGGUGGUGUUGUGGUCGUCGAGCUGUUCUUCUGUGUUUCUGAGGUGAAGAGAUGGAGGAGUUGAGGAGAUUGAGUCCACAUGCCCUCCUCCCAUGGCUACAUUUCCAGCCCACCAUCGAUUCGCCAUGGAUUUCUAAAUCUCAGAAAGGAGAAAACCCAAAACUCCAAAUCCAAAUCCAAGCAAGAAAGGAAACAAAUCCCAGAGAGAACCAAACAAAGCUCCUGUCUUUACACUCUUUCUGUUUUUGGUUGGUUUGAAUUGGAUAACGACAAGCACCGAGCUAGCUAAUUAAGGAAGGCAAAAGAUCAAAUCUUUAGCCUCGCUUAUUACACACCUCUCUCUCUCUCUCUCUCUCUCCCCUUCUUGUUCUUUGUUUGGUUGCUGUUGCUGUAGAGCAGUGUAGCGUCUUAGAUUGAGAUUUCCCUGAUAAGUAACAAAAAAAACAAUCCUCAAAUCCAACAGAUACAAUCCAAAACCUCACCCAAACCCACCUAGCCAAAUCUCUCUCUCUCUCCCCUUGUUGUUUUUCUGCAUGAAAACCCUAACAACAUUCAACUUUUCCAAAUCCCAGAAUCAGAUCCAACCAACAACAUUUAAAAUCCAACUACCCAAAACCCACUUCUUUAAACCAAAUAACAUUCACCAACGAUCUAACCUCAACGCUCUUCAAAAACCCCCAGUCAGAAAGUAGAAAAAGAUUCACCUAUUUUAGCUGACAACACCAUCGUCCAUGUCUGCUAUCGUCCAUGUCUGCUAGCUACUAUAUAUACAUAUAUAUGUAUAUAUAAUAUACGUGUAUAUUAGGUAGGUACUACAACCACAAAGACCAAAGUGCAUGCCUUGUGUUGUUGUGUUUCUUCUCUGUGGUAAGGUAAGCCUCAAGCAAGCAGCUUCCUUAGACCUCGGUUGCUUUCAAUAGUGGAGAAUCUCUGGUUGGUUAGUACGAGCAAACUAACCCAAGAUUGUGUUUGUGUAGUAGGGGCCUGCCUCCUCCGUAUUUUGAGCAUUGAAGCCUCUCUCUCUCUUCUGCUGCUGCAAAGUCUGAACCUUUUUACCAUUUCUGGGGUUGCGAGGCGUACGUUAAGUGUCCCAACGCUCCCUGGCGUACGAUAACACUUCCUGCAGCAUCACUCACUGUACCUAUAUCUACCUAAUAAAUCUCCGUAAGAAAAAGAAAAAGAAAAAGAAAAAAAGGCGGUUUUGCAGAGCCUGGUUUUCUCUUGUCUCUGGUAAACGGUGUUUGGUUCCUGUACAAGUUCCGAGCUCCAAGUUGAGUGAGUUUCUACACUCCACACUCUCACUCUUCAUUAUCAUGUAGACUCGCCAACCGCAACGAACCAACCAUGAGGAAAAAACACUGUCUUGGAUUCGUGAAAUUACUGAAGUGCCCUUUUUGGGUGACGUGUGGGGUUGUGAUUUGACUAGAUGGACUGCAUUGGUGGUGGAAAGGUACAGGGGAUGUGUGCAAGGAAGCUUAAGAGUUGGACUUUAUCUUUUUUGCUCUCUACGGAGAGAGAGAGAGAGAGAGAGAGAGAGAGAGAGGGAAGGGGAGAGGUGUGGGUGUGGGGUAACGUGCGCAUGGAGUAGUGGGAACACGUCACUGUCUGCGAGUCCCGACAAGAUAUCGAAUGCCAAGGUCUGGAACAUCACCGCCAAAAAAACCGAGCCAGAAGAGAAGAGACUAACCCCAGUCAGCCACCCAUACAUAUGACAUACAGAGAGAGAGAGAGACUCUCUCUCUUUAUCUGCUGCUGUAACUUUUGGGUGUACAAUGUUAACGUUUAUCUCGUAGAACGUUUUAUUAUGUAAGGUCUAAAAUGUAAUUACAAGCAGAGCCUAGACCAUUAAGUAACUGCAGUAACUAGAAGAACAAAUGAGAAAUGAAAAACGAAGUUCCAUUUCAUUUGAGAGAGUGUACCAAAUUGCCAUUGUAUUUUGUAUAUAGAGGAUCUUUUUCUUUUUUGCUUUACCAAGGCUAGCCAGUGACCACUGUGACACUGCUGUGCUGUGCUUUAUUUGAAAAGUUGAUGUGGUCUUAUGACCAAACUCGUCCUGGUGACAGGUUUCUACGAUCUUUAAGGUCUGGCUGGAGGACUUACCUACACUUGUACUUUAAUACCAGCGAAUGACCCUGACCAGGCUGACCUGACCCAACAAGCAUAUUGCUUUGCAUAUUUAUCCAUUCAUAUUUUACUUUCAAUCAAAUAUUACCCAUUGACCAUAAAUAAACAAAAUGAAAAUGGAUUUGUAAUUAAAAUCCCUAACCCUAUUGUAUGCAGUGCAACUUGCAAGAACUUUCAUUUUCAUUUGGGGUGUGUUCUUAUUCGUCGUCUAUUAUGAAGUAGCAGCAGACGAUUGGGAAGCCCUAGGAUAAGAUUUGAAAACUCUUAGGAUAAGAUUUUUAUCUGCUAAAAUCAAAACCCCCCCAUCAUAAUUUAACUCAUAAAUAUUGAGCAGAUUUACUCCUACAUACAUGAUACAUAUAAGAAAGUUUCAGAAAACAUUGUGGAAUAAAUGACUUGGCGGGCCAUGUAGUUUUGACAUUACAAUCUUCAAGCCCCCACUCAUGUCACCAUACCAAUUUCUUCACGAAAUGUCAUUUUCUUUUACAUUUUUCAAACCAUCUGGUCCUGACCUAAGCCGCUUGUCUGACCGAAAAAAACAAAAACUUUAGCCCCUCGUAAAAAGCAUUGGGAAAUUGGCCGGCUUAAGUAGAUAUUGGUAAAAUGGCAUCUUCUUUUUACAACUUCUAAGUCAAAUUUGGUCGGCUUAAGUGGAAUGAGUUAAGUAGGGUGAGAAGAAGCUAGUGAACAAGCUCAAAUUAGCAAAAUGAGUUUAAAAGCAUAAUUGUUUGUUAGGAGACCCUACCAAAAUAAAGUUGAUACUCAACUCGAACUCCUUAAGCAAUUCAAUUCAAUAGCAUAGGCACAAACAAGGGUUCCAAGCUGAGGGAAAAUACUAUUUAGAAAUGGCAAUCUCGAGUUCUUUUCUGUACAUUGUUGAAUAAAUCAAUACGAAAAUAAAAAUAAAAAUUUCACCACUCUGGGUAGAAAUCAGUCCUUCACUUCCAGAUUCUCAAUAUAACAAAAAUUGGGGUGAGGAAGUCCAAAAGCCUAAGAAGCCAAAUAUGAUGAUAGAUAUCUUUAGACAACCAAAUAUUCAUCUGGCGAAUACACUACAACAAAAAGUUAUGUGGAGGCAAAGAUGAGCACACCAUUUUAAGCAAGUUGAAGAUGAGUAGUAAUAUAAAGAUCGAUCCGCUUGGGCUUCCAGACCUCUAGGUAUAGUAUAGCAGUUCCCUCGGUUAUAUAACAUCAAAUUAGCAGGGCCGCCCGCUAGUUUCUAUAUCGUCCAACUUCAGAACACGACCGGCUCCCUGUGAACUACUCAAUGGUCAUGAUCAUGGGUGCUUAUUAACAUGCAUUACCAAUACCGGCUCUAGUUGCAACGACUAUACAACACUCUAACCUUAACUGCCGGAACCUUCAGCAGAAGUCGUAUCAGUUGGAAGUAAAGUACCCGUUGCUUCAGAAACUCCUCCUGUUUCACCUUGUUUAGUCUCUGACUGCUCUAAAAUUGGAUCACGGAAAAUCUCAGACUGCAAGGAUGGAGCAAUGUUAUUUACAAGUCGCCAUGUCAGCUCCCACAAGCUAUCAUCUCCUAAAUCACUUCUCUCCACAAGAACUCCCCUUAAAAUCAUUACAAGCAAGGUGUUCUUAAGUAGCUCAGGUACUUGGUCCCGAAGCUUAUCACUUUUCUUCCCCCCAAUUUUCACCUUCAUAUAUUUUUCCAUUCGACUGAGAACGCCCAGCCAUAAUUUGCAGAAAGUUGUUAACUGUGAUAGGUCAGGUAGAAGCUGCAGAAAAACUUUGGACAAGAGCUUCAAGGCAAGGAUAAGUGUGCCUUCCAUGUUCCGGUAGUCCUUUGGGGAGUGUCUCUGUGCAAUUUCAAGCAAGUCAUCAAGCAUUGUGAAGAUCACCAUAUCAAAGCACUGCAACCAAAGACCAGGUGGAAGAGGGAUCCCAUCCACUCCAGUCAAGCACUUCCGUAACAAGGACAGAGCAUGGUUCCUAACCUCUUCUCUCUGGUCUAAACAAACUUUUCUCAAUCCCUGAACAAGCCGCAACCACAUUUCCCCGAUAUCUUGAGACAUUUUCCCGAUAUCUUGAGACAUUUUCACAGCUUCCUCAUCAUUCAUAGAUUGCUUAGCCUCACAUACCCACCUUGCUAAACAAUCAACAGAUCCCGCCAUUAGAUCAAGUGCACACACAGAUCGGUCUACCUCCCCAACACGAGACUCAGCAAACUGUCUUGAUGCAUCAACACAUAGAACAUAAUUGGCUGGCAACAAGUGAGUUCCAUCAGACAUAAUGAAGAACAGCGCAUCAAAUCCAGCCUCAGAAGCUUCCGGGUGCCGAGCAGUGAUUGAGAGCAAUGACGUAAUUAUGCGCCACCCCAAUUGUGAUCUUAUGUGCGAGGCAUUUGCUUUCACAAGGCGGCCAACUUCCUGUGUAAUUUGCUCACAGUACGCAUCAGCAACCCGUGCAUCAAGCUUCAAGACAAGUUGCAGUGACCUCAAAAGUUCAUCCGCAAGGUUCUCUUUAUAGGGAAGCAGCCGCUGGCAAAUCCGAAGAAGUCCAAAAACAGCCUUCUCUACCAGCGCACAAGGCAUCACAGUUGACUGAACAAUGUUUGAUAUGUGCUCAUACACAAUCUGCCAAAGAAGCAUAAUCCUAUCCCUAUUAUUUAAGGUAAUAGCAAUCAGCAACUCCAAACAAAAAACUCCAGUAUCUUCAUCCUCGGGUGAGCUGCUCCCUUUGUGAGGUCGUCCUCCAGCCCAGAUCAGUGCUUGCGCAAGUUGCAAGAGGGAUUCAGCCUGCAGAAACUUGCUAUCAGAAAAAAUGCCAUCAAUGUGGCACUUUUGAACUGUCUGAAGGGUGCGUUGAUGAGCAGCAAGUUCUUCUUCAGUAGGCUGCGAUCUCGGCUCCUCUGUGUCAAGAGAUAGGAGCUGACUAAACCGGCCCAUCAAUCCAGAGGAUCUCCUAGGAGUACUCACAGAGGGCAUAUGAACAGAAGAUAGAGAAUUGGUUAUGGGGUUGCCAUGACCUGUGUCAGCGGAAACCUCCGAAUCACCAGCUGCUUCACUCGCUACACAAGCUGAAAGAAGACCAAGCUUGUGUAAUCUUAAGAUGCAGUCAAGAAUGUUUCUCCAACCCGUGCGAAUGUAAUCACCAUAUGUAUUAGCAAUUGUGAAAACGGUCACAGUUGACAUUCUAGCUUUUGGGUCAUCGCCAAACGCCAACACAGGUUCGUCAACAGAUGGGUUUAAAAGGGUUGUGAACUUACAAAGAGACACAACCAGGUCGUCCAGCACAUCUUCAAGAUGAUAGCAUGCUGCAAUCUUUGCAACAGAUAAAAAUCCAUCAAUGCAUGUUUGGUAAAUCUCUUCAUGUUCUGCAUGAUCAAAUACCACAGAGAUGGCAGCAAUUGUAGGGCCCGACAUUAUAGCAAACAUAUCCUGGUCAAGGUGGGGUCUGAAAUUGGAUACAAUGAAUGGAGCAUUCUUCUUGGAUUUGUGUAUUAAAUCAAUCCAACGGCUUGGGGUCAUUUCAGGAAAACUAGCGCCUUGUUCAGGAGUUGUGCGGAUCUCAUUCUUGCAUAUUGAGUGGUAAAGCUCUGACAGGAAUUCUCGAGGUAGAUCAUCACCUCCAUUGAUGUGCCGAUUAUUCCGAAUGAAAUCCUCCUCCGUCAUCUUCUUCUUUACCUGAACAUUGUGUCGAUCUGUGUUGAGCAUUAUAAUCGAAUAUGAUAACAGGAGGGCAGCAUCCUUGUUAGCUAGAAUUUGUGGUGAUUGCUCAUAAUAUCUCUCUGAAAACGCUUCAAGCACCCUUUGUAUCUUUUGUGAUUCUCCAGGCAGCCGAAACGUCUCCAAAAAAAGUCGGAGAGCAGUAUCCAAAUUCAUAUCUUGAAAAUCAAAGGUACCAGCAAAUUCAUGAAGAACCUGAAUACAAAACUCAUCAUGGUUUCCCAGGAAAUCCCCAACAAGAUUCUUGUCCAACCCAGAAGUGUACCUGAAAAAACAGGCCACGCUUUCAGGAUCAAGUUUGUCAGGCAAGAGAUGAGUUCCUUGCAGGAACUCCAGCCCUUUCUUUGGGUCAUGGUUAAAAUGAUCGGCUCCAAUCAUCAGCCUUCUCUUUAUGUAUUUCCUUCGGCGAACAAAUGGAACCCAAUGAUUAGGAUCACUGUAGUCGUCACACUUCAUCAACCAGAAUGGGGUAUACUCUUCAAGAUUUGUGAGAGUCUCAGCAGAACUAACUGAUCCGUUACCUGACCUCUCUGCCAUUCCCUGAAUAAUAGCAAUAAGACCAUCCAAAGCAAGAAUGUGAAUUGAUGACAACGGGAAAUUAACAGGGAAUGCACUCUUUGACAACAGAUUAGCAAGAUCUUCAAAGGCAUUACUGCAGGUUAUGUCACAAUCUAAGUUAGCGUACAUCUCCACCAUGAAAGUUUUCUGCCUGCAGAAGUCAACAACAGCCUCCAUGGCAACCUCCUGCUGCUGAUAAGAAGCCCCAUACCUGCUUUGCGCAAGCCUCAAUAUCACGCAAGAAAAGAAUGCCUCAAGCUGUAGCUUUAGUUCAGUGCGCAGAUGGUGAUACAAAUUGAGAACAAUGCUGCAUACCAUUGAAAGAAUAAGUGGACUCAUUGAUAGGCCAAACUGCAUCAGAUUUUGAAACAAUUCAUCCUGAACCAAACUUAAUAACUUGGGGUGGUUCUGAAUUGAGGACCCACCCAACUCUAUUGCAGAAUUAACCAAUCCCAAGGCAAAAAGAGGCACAUCUUCAUCAAACGAUAUGGUAUUAGAUCUGGGACCCAUACCGAUAUGCUCGACCACAUUUAACAAAGAGCACAGAAAGUUAAAUAUUUCCACCAUACAGGGGACCCCAAACGGCUCAGCCAUGAGACGCGAGUCAUAUUGAACAGUCUCCUUCCCACUAGAAGCCCCAGUUGUCUUUUCAUCCAUCCCAGAUUCUACAAGACCUGAGGAAGCAUUCAAGGCAGGAUUUGUGGAUAAAAGCUGACUGUCAAACUCAGAACUCACGUUGCCAUUCUCCAAUUGUCUACUCCCAGAAGGGUACUCAUUAUUUAUCCCAGCAAUCUGCAAAAGAAAAACACCAUAUAUUUGAAAAGAAAAUUAUACACAUAUAUAGAGCUUUUAAGACUGGUAUCAAGUUCAAUUUUUUGUUUCGCACGCCAAAAUCAGCAGGAAUCGUCUAUGCUAAGACCCAAUAAUACAUGUCAGAGUUGAUACAGUACCUCUCGGUUGAUGGUAUUGUUUCCAUUUGACAAUGCACGUUCAGUGUUCUGAACAUCUGGAAGGUGUGAGAAAAUACAUCUAACCAGUUCAUGCAUAGUGUGGCGAGCUAUCCGUUGCAACAACUCACCUUUUGUUCCUGCUUGAUGGACUAUACGGAAACAUGUAUUCACUAUAGUGCAAACAUGCUGAUUACUCAAUAUAACAGACGCUUUACUCUUCAUGCAAGCCAGAAGAACCUGUAGUAUCUUCAUCAGUACCACUUCUUCUGAUGCAGGAUCAGUCACCUCAAAUCGGCAGCCAGUGAUCGCAUCAACUAACAAAUGCAUGGCAUCUUCAACAUUUACGGAAUUUUGAUCGAUCACAUCAAGCGUUAAGAUAUUGUAAACAGAUGACAACGCCACACCAGUGAUUGGCGCACCAGUUUCAUCUGAUCUAAUCACAUCCAAAAAUGGCUGAAGAUAUGCAGCAGGAUUGAUGGUAUGCAACUGAUGCUGCCACGAAAAUAUUUGCUUCCGUAACACCUUUAAAGAUUGGAUUAGAGGGUGUUCCAGCUGAUCAUCACCUGAUAUAUAACGUCCUCCCCAUCUUACAUUCCUCCUCAUAACCGCUAAUACAGCGCCUAUUUCUGAAUUAAUGAUGCAUGCUAAAGUAUCUUUUUUAGAAUAUGUUGCAUCACAGUUCCCGGGUUCUUCGUCAAUUGCCUUGAUUCCAUUUUGCAGCUUCAGACGCCCCAUCUUUGAACAGAACCCCAAGUUCUAUCAGUAUUUACCAACUUCUACGUAGAGAAGGCAAAGUCGCAUACCCUCAUGAUCCACGGAAGUACUCAAACAUACCUAGUAGAAAUGCAACAUAUGAAAUAAGCUGAAUGAAGUGCAACAAGUAAUGGAGAAGCCAAGCCUUCAAUCAAAUCUUCCCCAAUCAUAUCAUAAGCAGAUAAUUAAACUACCAUAACCUUUAGCACCUACCAUGACUGCCCAGAACCUAUCCUGAUUACCCCUCUAACCAAUUCCACACCCAUAACUUCCCAUAAUAUGUAAAUGUCUUUACAUGAACACAAGACCAUCUACACACACUAGAAUUGACAAGAAAAGUAUGCUUCAUAAAUAAUUUCCACUAACAAAAAAAUAACAUUCUAGGGAAUCAAACAAUAUCAUCCAAAUUCCAAAACUAAUAUAAAUAGAAAACUUUAAAAAGAAAGGAAAACAAAUGCUAAUCAGCUCCCAGAAGAAAGGGAAUUGGUAUUGAUUUUGACAUUGGCAAUUCCAACCUUGAAUCCUCAGAUUUGGGUGAGAUAAGGGAAUUCAAAUUCGAAAAUUCUUUUGGGCACCUACCCAACAGUCCUCCUCCUUGGGACAUUGACGGCGAUCUCAUGCCGGAAGCCUCUGAAAUCUGAUCCGCAGUCUCUGCCGGCCCUAAUUGUCAGCUUCGGGUUCGACCCGUCCACCACUUUUGUACCAGAUCGGUCAUUCAACUGUAAAACAAUGCGUUGCGCUCUUUUUUGGGGGGCAUCAAAGUGAGAUCUCUCGCUCGCAGUAUAGUAUUAGUGUCUCUUCAAAUGCGGACCGUGUGAUUUGUCAUUUUUUUCUUAAAGCCCAUGAAAAUCUCCUCUUUUUUUCUUUAAUUUAAGAAAAUGGUGAAAGAAAUUGCCCGUCAAAAUAAGCAAAUAAAAUGAAAAAUAAAAUGGUACACCCACGAAAAAUUAUUGAUCGUGUUCGCAAAGUGCAUAGAUAAUUACUUUUAAUUAUUUGAGUUUCAAUUUCUUUAUGUGAUAAUUUAAUAUUUAAAUUUCCUGUAUCAUAGGUAUACUUAUAGGUGAAUUCGAAACAACAAGUCAGCAUAUCACAUUAUACAAUAGAUAUGUAAAAUAAUUUCUUCGAAUCCGCAAUAGAUUAUUACAAAAUCAAAGUUUGUAUUUUAUAUUCGUUACAUUUUUCUUACUUGUCCUUUUGAAUGAAAAUUAUUAAUUAAUAAACUAGAAAAAGCCUAUCCUUCAAAUUCACUUACUAUAAAAAAUGGUGAGAGAUGGUAAUGAAAGUUUAUCAGUAAGUUUUUUUUUUUUUUUUUUUGGGUCGAAAAUUUAUCAGUAAGUUUACAAAAUGGGAGAUGAGAAAUGCUCUGAAAACUAUCAGAAAAUGAUUGGAUAAGAUCAGAUUUUUGCUAUCAAAAUUAUCAAUUGCACCAACAAUUUGAAAUGCACGAAACUGAAAUAAUCUAUGUCAAACAUGGAAAAAUUAGAGGUUCCAUGCCAAGUAAAAAUAUCGCUUAGUAGUUGCAAUCUUGAGCUCUCUGUACAUUGAUGAACAAGGCAGUACAAAAAUAUAGAAGGCUUUAACUAAGCAGCUGACUACAAGGCAAGACAAAUAUGCUAUCUUUAGAGAAAAACUAUAUUUAUCACAUGGGAAUAUACUGCAACAAAGUUAUCUGGAGGCGAAGUUGAGGACACCAUUUGGAGGAAGACGAAGAUGAGUACAAAGACACUACCAGCCCGCUUGGGUUUCGAAACCACAGUAUAUCAUUUCCCUUUGUAAUAAUCCACAUCUGGCAGCUCUAUAAACAAAAUUAAGAUGUCUUCUGCCAGUUUCUAAAAGAUUGAAUUUCAUAACAGAAUGCCUCGUAAAAUAACUACUUGGUGGUCACGAUCAUGCACGAACAACACCAGUUCUAGUUGCAAACAACUAUACAACAUGCUAACCUCCAGUUGCAGACACCAUUUCAGUUGGAAGUAGGGUACCCGUUUCAUCAGAAACUAGACUUCCCCCAUUUUCACCCUGCUUAGUCUCUGACUGCUCUGAAAUUUGAUCAGGGAAAACCUCGGAUUGCAAGGUUGGAGCAAUGUUAUUGACAUGUAGCCAUGUCAGCUCCCACAAGCUAUCUCCUCCUAGAGCGCUCCUUUGUACAAGCACUCCCUUUAAAUUCAUCACAAGCAAGGUGUUCUUCAGAAGCUCAGGUACUUGGUCCUGAAGCUUCUCACUUUUUUUCCCUCUAACUUUCACCUUCAUGUAUUUUUCCAUUCGGCUGAGAACACCCAGCCAUAGUUUGCAGAAAGUUGUUAGCUGUGAUAAGUCAGGUAGUAGCUGUAAAAACACUUUCGACAAGAGUUUCAUGGCAAGGAUAAGUGUGCCUUCCAUGUUGCGGUAGUCCUUCUGGGAGUGUCCCUGUGCAAUUUCAAGCAAGUCAUCAAGCAUUGUGAAGAUCACCACAUCAAAGCACUGUAACCACAGAUUAUGUGGAAGAGGGAUCCCAUCCACUCCUGUCAAGCACUUCUGCAACAAUGACAAAGCAUGGUUCCUAACAUCUUCUCUCUGGUCCAAACAAACUUUUCUCAGUGCCUGAACAAGCCGGAACCACAUUUCCCCAAUAUCCUGAGACAUUUUCACCACUUCCUCCUCAUUCCUGGCUUGCUUAGCCUCACGGGCCCACCUUGCUAAACAAUCAACAGAACCCGCCAUAAGAUCAAGUGCGCAUAUAGAUCGCUCUGCCUGCCCAACACGAGAUUCAGCAAACUGCCGUGAAGCAUCAACGCAGAGAGCAUAAUUGGCUGGCAACAAGUGGGUUCCCUCAGACAUAAUGAAGAACAGUGCAUCAAACCCCGACUCAGAAGCCUCCGGGUGCCGGGCUGUGAUGGAGAGCAAGGAUGUAAUUGUGCGCCACCCCAGCUGGGAUCUGAUGUGUGAGGCAUUCGCUUUCACAAGGCGACUGACUUCCUGUGUAAUUUGCUCGCAGUAAGCGUCAGCAACCCGAGCAUCAAGCUUCAACACAAGCUGCAGUGACCUCAAAAGUUCAUCAGCAAGGUUCUCCUUAUAGGGAAGUAGCCUCUGGCAAAUCCGAAGAAGUCCAAAAACAGCCUUCUCUACCAGAGCACAAGGCAUCACAGUUGACUGAACGAUGCUGGAUAUGUGCUCAUACACCCCCUGCCAUAGAAGCACAAUCCUAUCCCUAUUAUUUAGGGUAAUAGCAAUCAGCAACUCCAAACAGAAAACUGCUGUAUCUUCAUCCUCAGGAGAGCUGUUCCCUUUUUGGGGUCGGCCAGCAGCCCAAAUCAGUGCUCGUGCAAGCUGUAACAGGGAUUCAGCUUGCAAAAACUUGCUCUCGGUAAAUAUGCUGUCAAUGUGGCACUUUUGAAUUGUCUGAAGGGUGCGCUGAUGAGCAGCAAGUUGUUGUUCAGUAGGCUGUGAUCUCGGCUCCUCUGUUUCAAGAGAUAAGAGCUGACUAAACCGACCCAUCAAUCCAGAGGAUCUCCUAGGAGUACCUAUGGAAGGUAUAUGGACAGAGGAUAGAGAAUUUGAUAUAGGCUUUCCGGGACCUGUGUCAGCAGAAAACUCUGACUCAUCAGCUGCAUCACUGGCCACACGAGCCGGAAGAAGACCAAGCUUGUGUAAUCUUAAGAUGCAGUCCAAAAUAUUUCUCCAACCUGUGCGAAUGUAAUCACCAUACCUAUUGGCAAUUGUGAAAACUGUCACAGUUGCCAUUCUAGCUUUUGCAUCAUCACCAAAGGCUAGCACAGGUUCCUCAACAGAUGAUGGGUUUAAAAGGGUUGUGAACUUACAAAGAGACACAACCAAAUCAUCCAGGACAUCUUCAAGAUGAUGGCAUGCUGAAAUCUUUGCAACAGCUAAAAAUCCAUCAAUGCAUGUUUGGUAAACCUCUUCAUGCUCUGCAUGAUCAAAUACCACAGAGAUAGCAGCAAUUGUAGGGCCUGACAUUAUAGCAAACAUAUCGUGGUCCAGGUAGGCUCUGGAAUCGGACACAAUGAAUGGAGCAUUCUUCUUGGAUUUGUGCAUUAAAUCAAUCCACCGGCUUGGCGUCAUUUCAGGAUAACCAGCACCUUGCUCUGGAGUUGUGCGGAUCUCAUUCUUGCAUAUUGAGUGGUAAAGCUCUGACAGGAAUUCUCGAGGAAGAUCACUGCCUCCAUUGAUGUGUCUAUUAUUCCGAAUGAAAUCCUCCUCGGUCAUUUUCUUCUUUACCUGAACAUUGUGCUGAUCUGUAUUGAGCAUUAUGAGUGAAUAAGACAACAGAAGAGCAGCAUCCUUGUUAGCUAGAAUCAGUGGUGAUUGCUCAUAGUAUCUCUCUGAGAAUGCUUCAAGAACCCUUUGUAUCUUUUGAGAUUCUCCAGGCAACCGAAAUGUCUCCAAAAAAAGUCGCAGUGCAGUAUCCAAGUUCAUAUCUUGGAAAUCAAAGGUACCAGCAAAUUUAUGAAGAACCUGAACACAAAACUCAUCAUGAUUUCCCAGAAAAUCCCCAACAAGAUUCUUGUCCAGCCCAGCAGUGUACCUGAAAAAGCAGGCCACACUUUGCGGAUCAAGUUUGUCAGGCAGGAGAUGUGUUCCUUGGAGGAACUCCAGUCCUUUCUUCGGGUCACGGUUAAAAUGAUCGGCUCCAAUCAUUAGCCUUCUCUUUAUGUACUUCCUCCGGCGAACAAAUGGAACCCAAUCAGUAGGAUCACUGUAGUUUUCGCACUUCACCAUCCAGAAUGGAGUAUACUCUUCAAGAUGCACUGGAGUAUGCUCAGAACUAACUGAUCCAUUCCCUACCCUCUCUGCCAUUCCCUGAAUAACAGCAAUAAGACCAUCCAAAGCAAGAAUGUGAAUCGAAGACAAAGGGCAAUUGACAGGGAAUGCACUUUUCGACAGCAGAUUAGCAAGUUCUUCAAAGACAUUACUGCAAGUUAUGUCACAAUCUAAGUUAGCGUACAUCUCCACCAUGAAAGUUUUCUGCCUGCAGAAGUCAACAAGAGCCUCCAUGGCAACCUCCUGCUGCUGAUAAGAAGCUCCAUAUCUACUUUGUGCAAGCCUCAAUAUCACACAAGAAAAGAAAGCCUCAAGCUGUAAUUUAAGUUCGGUGCGCAGAUGAUGAUACAAAUUAAGAACAAUGCUGCAUACCAUUGAAAGAAUAAUUGGACUUGUUGAUAGGCCAAAUUGCAUCAGAUUCCGAAACAAUUCAUCCUGAACCAAACUCAAUAACUUGGGGUGAUUCUGAAUGUAAGAUCCACCCAACUCUAUAGCUGAAUUAAUCAAAACCAAGGCAAAAAAAGGCACAUCUUCAUCAAAUUCUAUGGUAUUAGAUCUGGGACCCAUUCCCAUAUGCUCAGAAAUAUUUAACAAAGAACAUAGAAAGUGAAAUAUUUCCACCAUGCAGGGGACUCCAUAUGGCUCAGUCAUGAGAUGCAAGUCGUAUUGAACAGCAUCCUUCCCAGUAGAAUCCCCGAUUUUAUUUUCAUCAAUCACAGAUGCUACUAGGCCUGAGGAAGAAUUCGAGGCCGGAUUUGUGGAUAAUGGUUGACCAUCAUACCCAGAACUCAAAUUGCCAUUCUCCAAUUGUCUAUUCCCAAAAGAAUACUCAUUAUUUAGCCCUGCGAUCUGCACAUGAAAAACAACCACAUAUUCACAAAGAAAGUCUUAAAAUUGGACAUUUGCGAGACCAACUAACUAUUUCACUCCAUAAUCAACAGAUCACCUCUAAGCCCCUAUAAUACAUGUAAACUUUGAAAGUAGUAUUACCUCUUGCGUGACAGUAUUGCUUCCAUUUAGCAAAGCACGUUCAGUGUCAUUAACAUCUGGAAGAUGUGAGAAAAUACAUCUGACGAGUUCAUGCAUUGUGUGACGAGCUAUCCGCUGCAACAACUCACCUUUUGUUCCUGCUUGAUGAACUAUACGGAAACAUGUAUUCACUAUAGUGCAAACAUGCUGAUUACUCAACAUAACAGAUGCUUUACUCUUCAUGCAAGCCAGAAGCACCUGAAGUAUCUUCAUCAGUACCACUUCUUCUGAUGCAGGAUCAGUCACCUCAAAACGGCAACUAGUGGUUGCAUCCACUAACAAGUGCAUAGCCUCUUCAACAUUUACGGAGUUCUGAUCCAUCACAUCAAGUGUUAAGAUAUUAUAAACAGAUGACAAAGCGACACCGGUGAUUGGUGCACCAGUUUCAUCCGACCUAAUCACAUCCAAAAAUGGCUGGAGAUAUACAGCAGGAUUGAUGGUAUGCCAUUGAUGUUGCCAUGAAAAGAUUUGCUUGCGUAAUGCCUUUAAAGACUGGAUUAGAGAAUGCUCCAGCUGAUCAUCACCUGAUGUAUAACGUCCUCCCCAUCUAACAUUCCUCCUCAUAACCGCUAAUACAGAACCUAUUUCUGAAUUGAUGAUGCAUGCUAAUGUAGCUUUAUUGGAAUAGGUUGCAUCACAGUCCUCGGGUUCUUCCUCAAUUGCCUUGAUUCCACUUUGCAACUUUAGACGGCCCAUUUCUCUAACAAUAUUCUUCGAACAGAACCCAAGUUCUAGUGGUAUUCACCAACUUCUAUGUAGAGAAGGCAAACAAGCAUAGGAAAUGGAUACCUAGAAAAUCAACAUACCAGAUAAGCUGAAUGAAGUGCAACAAGGAAUGGAGAAGCCUCAAUGACAACUUUUCUAAUCAUAUCGUAAGCAGACAAUAAAAUUACAAUAACCAUUACCACUAACUUUCAGCAACCAUAACUGCCCGGCACCCACCCUCAUCGCAACUCUAACCAAAUACCACAGCCAUAACUUCCCAAUCUCCUCUUUAGUGUGGGUGUCUUUACAUGCGCACACAUACCAUCCAAACACACUAGAAAUGACAAGAAAAUCUAUAUUACCUUUCCCUGAGAAAACAGUAUCAGGUUGGUAUGCUUCAUACUAAAUGUCCAACUAACAGUUUAACCCCAAAAAAAAAAAAAAAAAACUAAAAUAAAAGAAAAAUCAGAUUUCAUGGAACCAUACAAAAACACACUCAAGUUUCCCGCAACCUUAAAGUACUAAUUUACAUUCUAGCAUCUUCAUCCAAACUUAAAGAUUUUACUCUAAACAGGUAACUUAAAGCUAAAAGAAACACUAAUCAGCUCGCCCCAAAAAACAGGAAACUAAAAUUGGCUCUGUUUGGUUCCACAGAUAUGAAAUGGAUUUUGACAUUGGCAAUUUCCACCGUCAAAUCCAGAGUCUGGACGUGUCCCAAAUAUCAGAUUUGGUCGAGACUAAGAAUUCAAAUUCCAAUGUUCGUUUGUAUACUUACCCGAGAGCCCUCCUUUCAACCUCGCCAGCGAUCCCAAGACAGAUGCCUCUCAAAUCCAGUUCCUCCCUCUCUCACGCUGUGCCAGUUUCAAUUGCAAGCUUCACGUUUGACCGGUCUACUGCUCUGCUACCAGAUCGGGUGGAGCAUGCGAUCCAUCAAAGUCAGAAAACAAAUAAGACAACAAAAAUUCGAAAUGCGAAGGCAAUUAUGUGAGUAAAGUUAAGAGAUUAAUGAGAGAGAGAGAGGAGAGAGAGAGAGCGAGAAGUGUACCUUGGUUCGAAAAUGGAGGAGCGAGGUCGAAUCCCUACUGUCCGGCCAAGGAUCUAGAGGAGGAAGAAUGAAAUGAAGAAGAAAGUAUCAACUAGUAAACAAGAAGAGUCCACCGUGUAUCAUUUUUUAUUUUUUUCAAAUAAUAAUAAUCUCUCAAUAAUAGUAAAACGUUUCUUUCUUUUAUUUCUUUUAUUUUUUUGAGUAAGAGUUCUAAUCUUUUUUUAUUUCAAUCAUUCUAACUCGGGGUGGAUAUUAAACCAAUCGAACUUUUUUUUUUUUUUCAAACCAAUCGAACUAUUUAAAUCAGACACAUUGAUAUCAACUUUUAUUAAUAUAAUUAUAUGUAACACCCCGACUCCAAUUUAAAUGUUUAUUUUAAUCAAUUUAUAUAAAAUUACGAAUUUACCCUUGGGAUAGGAGUAAAUUGGUCACUUUCUUCUUCGGAAGGAUUUUGGGACCACGAGUGGCAUUUCUGGGUAGAUGGUACUGAGACGAAUUCGUAGACACGCGGUAGGCUUGAAUCGGGAUUGUAACGAAAAAGUUACGGGCAAAAUAGUGUCAGUGGCAAACUUGUAAAUAUUUCAAAAAAGUUUGGUAAAAAUCAGAUUUUUCUCAGUUCUCUCUCUCUCUUCGCGCGCGACACUCUCUCUCUCCUCAGUCUCUCUCUCUCCCCGACGUUCACUCUCUCUCUCCUCGGUUCGCUCAGUUCCGGCCACGGCAGGACCCGAGAUCGGUCUCGUUCGACUCGUCUCGUCGCCCCGGUCAAGCUCUGCCCGUUUUCCCCGUCGGAAACCACGGAUUCCGGUCGCGAGCUCGACGGUUUUAAACCGAAGCUGUUCCGCCGUCGCGCCGCCGCCUCCGCCGCCCAAACCCGGUGAUUGAGGUAUGGGUUCUCAUCCAUUUUUCGAGUUCUAGCUGUUGGGUGUAUAGGUUUGGACCGAUUCGUUGCCUAAGAGAUCGAUUAGAAAACCUAGGUUUUGUGCCGAAUUUCAAAAUGAAAUUUCGGCCAGUUGCCGGCCGAAUUGGAGCUUCUCGUAGUUGAAUGAAGUGAUCCUGACCUCGAGUAGAAGCUAGGGUAGGAAGGGUGAGCUCGGGUGUGGAGUUUUUCCGUCACUGGAAUUACUCUGCACACCCACGCGCUGCCUGCGCGUGUGGCGGCACGUGGGUGAGUCUGGUGAGAAUGUAAAUUAGCCCGAUGAGAUCCUUAGGUUGUCACGAGCGCAUAGGAAUUCGUGGAUCUCGAUUCGGAUGUCGUUUGGCUAUCGAACGAAUUUUCGCAUAUUGUGCGUUAUCCUGGUUCGAUAAGUUCCAACCGUUAGAUCUUUCCCGAAUUAAAAUAUGUUGUUCUAGGAAUUCCUAGGACCGUAUGAGACGUCACGAAUUCUGAAUCGGAGCCCCGGAUGUUCCGAUUCAAAAAUGCAAAGUUUGCGGGUUAGCGAUAACCGUGAAAAUUGUGAACGCUUCCUAAACCUGUAAUCGAACAUUAGGAUGCCUUCCUCAACGUGCACGUAUGGGAAAUUUGGGGAGUUAAGUAUUUAAUUUGUAAUUUCCGCUUAGACGUGGUUUUUAUAUUAAUUAACAGUUCGUAUCUCGAAAUAGGUAUUUUGUCUGCACGUACGCAGCAAGCAGGACCUUCACGUGGUCAGGCAGCGAGGGAAUACUUGUGAGUGGACUUUGUUUUAAUCAUAUGCCUGGUUUUAAUUAAUGAAAGAUUUUGCAUAAUGUUUUAAUGGCUCAUGGAUUUUAUAUAUUAUAUGCAUGAAUUAAUUUUGAUGGGUGUAUAGCAAUUGGCAAUAUAUUAUGAGUUUGGCCUUUUGGGUUUUGAGAGUGUAUUUCAUGUAUAGGUUGUGGGGAAGUAUAUUUUGAUAUAUAUUCUUUUAGAGGAGAUAUUUGGGUUGUUGGAGGGUGAUAUGGAAGAAUGUGAUUAGAGAGGAGUUGUGUUAUUACACUACGUAAGUACCUUCCCCAGUUACUAGUCUCACUCGCGGCAUUGGAUGUUCCGGCGGGUGAGACACUUUCCGUAUGCGGCGUUGGAUGUUCCGGCGUACGGAAAGACUGUGUAUAGAGUUUGGGGUCAUCACUAUGGCGUUGGAUGUUCCGGUGUGUGAUGAUCCAGUUUGCGCGCGUAGGACAUAGUUUGAGAGCUACACAUGGCGUUGGAUGUUCCGGUGUGUGAGCUUUGGAGUUUCAUCCCCCGGUUGGACCGCUCAUCCCUAGACGCAGGAUAGCACCUGGAAAUCCUGCGGACUAGUCAAACGAUCCUCCAGUUGGAUUGUUUUCCCCGGUACCUAGGUGGUGUGAUGAGUAUAUCGUAUAGCUAUUUAUAGUCAUUUAUAUAUAUAUUUAUAUAUGUAUAUUUAUUUGAAUAUGUAUAGUUGAGUGUGUAAGGAAUUAGUGUUUGUUUAAUAGUUUGACAGGAGUGGUAAGUUUGAGAGGAUGGGGUUCUUUUUGGAAAGAGAUAACUGAUGUUUUAGAAGAGUUUUAAUGAAACAUGUUUUGAGUAAAUUAAUUAUUGGAUUGUGAAACUGCAUGACUUGUGCAUUAUUUUUAUACGGUGGGGUUAUUAUGUUGUUUUUAACUGCAAAUCUGGUUUUUGUCCACUCACAUGUUUUCUGUUUUGCGCCCCCCAGCCAGUAGUUGCUCUUGGAAGUGCAAGUGGUGUACGAAGCGGAAUCGGUGCAUCUUUUAAAUUAGAAACUGUGUAAAUUCUUCUACUCAUCUGUUCUUGUAAUCUAAAUUCAGUAGAUGCUCUGUAUUGCCAUGAUAGAUUUUACUUGUGAGGCCGGAGGCCACUCUAGUAUGACUUGUAGUUAUAUGAAAGCAUGCUGCUGGUUGGGAUUAUUAUUAUUUUGUGUGUAUAUUGCAGGUUGAGUAUAAAUUUUGUUGGGAAUGCUUAAAUUACAGGGGAGACUCUGCCAAAAUUUUGGUAGAAAGUCUCGAUUAUUUAAUAGGUGGGCCCGGCAUCGGGAUGAUGUCGGGAUCAAGAUGGGGUCCGCCUCGGUCUUCGGGAAAUUUCAGGGCGGGUCCUGUCAUUAUAUGCAGUCCUGAUCUUUUGGACCACAGGAGUCCAAGAGAUUGUGAUCA
rnacentral:lncRNA from 1 species